rnacentral:lncRNA from 1 species
AUACAAUAGAAGAACCGUUUAGUGUCCCGCUAUGGAACCUUCUGCCCGCAAUGUCGACAGAGGAGUCUUCACUGUCAGGGCUAUAGAGUCCGGAGUCUUUCAGAGCCCUUUCGUUGACAUCAGAGGUAAAAACUAGCCCUAAGCGGAGGUGUGCGACUUUGCAAUUGCUUUUCUCGAUCUCAGCAAUGGAGUCUAUCAAACUCGCUUGCAUGGACUGCUGUGGCAUAACCAGCAGCAGCCCAAGCAACAGCAGUGCUGCCAAAUUGACUCUAGACAUUCUAUGGAGCUCAAGUGUUAAAGUGAAGUGACAAUGCUUUAGAUAAUUAAAUGCAACUGCUUUGUGGAAUGAUGGUAUUUGGGUGCUCCUCAUGUGCCUUUAUAUAGAAAUCGACCAUAGCUUCUUCUUUUUUUAACGCAAUUACAUAAAUGCCCUGUGUUGUUAUAAUUGACGACGUUGAAUAUCUCGAUGCCUCUCUCAUAGCAAUUUUUUUAUAUAUAAUUUUUUUUUAUUAAUUUAGUUUGUGUACCAUUUGCCGAUUACAAACCCUAAAUUUAAUAAUUAUAUAAAUUUUUAAUAAUUUUAAAAUUUAUAAGAUUAAAAUUGAUAACCUCUACUAAAAAAACUCUUAUUAGUUAAAUUACCAUCCUUAAAGUUAAUAACUUAAAUUUUUUAUAUAUAUAAAUGAUUAGUAUAUGUUGUUGUACUAUUAAAAAAAAAAUUUGAGAAAAAAGUUGCUAAAUUAAGUUCAAGAAAAUUAAUGCAAUUUUUCAGUUAAAUUAGUUCAAGCAUAAAAAAAUUUAAAUAAUUUAUUAAAGGAUCCUAGAACCCAAAUUAGUUUACAACAUCACAAACGGAUUGAAAGUAAGAAUGAGUAGUGUUAAUGAACAUUUUUCAUAUUUAUUAAAAAUCAAAAACAAUAAAAAAAUUUAAAAACUGCUCACCAAACUUUUUUUUUAUGAAACACAAAUUCAAUUAUUAAAUUUAAUAUGACAUUAAAAUCUUGAUGAUUAAAUGAUUAUGAUUUCAAAUCUUAUUAGCCUUAUUUUUUAAUUAAAUUAAAAAUUUAAUAUAAAAUAAAUUUAUAUAAGUUUUAUUUUAUCUAGCUUGUUUGGCUUAUAAUAAAAGAGAAAAAAGGUCCGUGGUCGAAAGAAAAAGAAUUUGAAAACUGCAAUAAAAAAUAGUUUCUUUUUUAGCUUUAACCUUUUGGAGAUUUUUUCAUAUCCUGAGAGUUGUCAUCACAAUUAAUGAAGAAAAAAACAAAACCGUCACUGGGCCCAAAAUAAUUUUGCAUCGUUAGUACAUCUAAAGCAGUAUUUGGAUUUGAACAAUCGUACACACAUUAUCCAUAAUUUCUCCAUACAAAAUUAAAAAAUUAAAACAACAUAAAAAACAAAAUAUACAACGACAGCACAUCACUUAAACAAAAGAACUUUCAAAUUUUAAAUCAUAUCCUUUAAUUGGUUAGGUACUAUUUUACUUUUUAAAAAUUAUUAAUUUAAAUUUUAUAAAUUUUAAAAUUAAUAAAGAUAUACAUAAUUAUUAAUUUUAAAACUUUUAAAAUUAAUUAAAAUAUAUACAAUGACCUGGAUAAUCAUAUUAAAAAAAAAAAACUAGAUCCAUCAUUAUUUAAACUAAACGUAAUAAAUAUCCUUUAAAUUGCCUCAUAUAAGCCAUGCCAUGUUAUGAAUUAAUACUAUUUAGCAUUAUAUAUUAUUUUUAAAUAAAAUAUAUAAGUGAUAAAUUAAAGUUUCAGAAUAUGUAAGUAUAUUUUAGAUGAAUGAUAAUGCAAAAUUAAAAUUAAGAAAAGGGUCUCUAGCCUAAUUUAAAAAUAUUAACAUAGACUAGAAGACGUUUUCUUUUUGAUAAUUUACUGAACAGUUAAUAAAUUAUGACAAGAAGUAUAUAUUUUAUAAAAUUUUAUUAUGAUUUAUAUUUGAAAAUAUUUGAUUUAUCUUACACUAAAAGACCAUCAUAUCUAAUAAAAAAGUAUAUGAUCAAGGGUUGUUGAAGAGAGAGGGAGGGAAGAAGAACGUGAGGGAAAAUAAUAGGGUUUGCCGCUGGUGAAAACCAAUAGCGAGGAAGGGUUGGUAAAGAGGAAAAAAAAGAGAGAUAAAUUCAUCUAAGUCAAACUUUAAAUUAGCGUGAUUAUUUUUAAUUUUAAUUUAUUUUUAUAAAAAAAAUAACUAAAUAGAAAUAAAUAAAUAAACAAAACCAAACCGAAACCAGUUUAAACCGACCGGUUUUGGUUUUUUUUUUUAGACAAAAACCAGUUGGCUCGGUUUUUUUGGUUUGGCUCAGUUUUUUUUUAUUUGACUCGGUUUUUUCAAUUUGGCUCGGUUUUGGCUCUGUUUUCCCGGUUUGGCUUGGUUUUUUCAGUUUGGGUUUGGUUCGGUUCGGUUUUUUUGGUUGCAGACUUAUAAAAUCGAAACCGAACCGGUCGUUUUUUAAAAUUUUAAUCGGCUUAAUUUGUUUUUUUUACAGUUCGGUUUUUUCAGUUAUUUUUUUUCAAUUUUUUCGCUUUAAUCAGUUUUUCGGUUUUUUUACUCACCCCUACUUUAAAUACAAGUUUCUGCAACUAGUUAAUGUUCUUGUAAUUGCCAAUACAAUAAAUUUUUUAAAAAAAACAAAAUAAAUAGUGCUUUUAAAAUAUGCACUCUAUAAUUUUUUUUAAAAAUAAUCAUUUGAAACUAAUGAAUUAUAUAUUACUAUAGAUAUGUCUAUCUUAAUCCAAUAUUAAAUAGGAUUUGAUGCCCCUCAAGUUAAUGCUAGCAUAAUAUUUAAUUUUAGUUAAAUCCUAACCCUUAGAUUGUUAAUUGAUGGCCAGGAGCAUUACAUAUAAUUAUACUACUCGUAAAAAAUAAAAUGAAAUUCCUAAUUUGAUCACAUUUUAUACAUGGUAGAUCAUGAAAAACUUUACCUUUAUAUAUACCUAAGCUCAUUUUAUAAAUGUUAAGAACAAUUAAUUUCCAAAUCGAUCCAAAGUCUCAUAAUAACUCUAGUUUUGAACAAAAAUAGGAUUUAUCAUAUAACAUAUUUCUUGUGAAUGGAAAAGUAUUCUUUUGUUAUUUUUCAGAUCCAUUAAAUCAAAAAGCAAUAAAACGAAAAUGAAAUCUUAGAUUGAGCUAGCUUGCAGUAAAUAGUAUUAAGAUUUUGAUUAGUUGGGACAAAAAAGAGUUCAACAAAAUUCAUGUACCUAUCUAUUUUUUUUUUUAAUUAUUGAAUACUUUAUCUAUCUAUUUUUUAUUAUUGAUUAGGGUUAACAUUUUAUUAGAAUUUAUUUUCUAAUAAAAUGUUUUUUAUAAUGGAAUAUCAAUAUUAUGGUUAAAAUAAAUUAUGAGUCAAUGAAAAAUUAAUUUUAAAAAAUCUUGUUUGAAAAACCUAAAACUUUUUAUCUUAUAUGAAAAGAAAGAUUUUCUUUAGUUUAGAUAAUAGAAUGAUGAAUUAUUAAAAUUAAACCUCGGGAGGACCAAAUUUUAUAGAGAAAAAUAGUCUAAAUAAAAUGAGCUGCUAGGGCCAAAGCUAGGCUUGACUUGGGUUUGUAUAUACUAUUAAAAACGUUAUUAAUAUAAUUGUGCAUGCUUAUAAAUCUUUUGUUUGUUAAUUUGUUUAGCAUUCUAUAGGUGCUAAACAAUUUUUUUAUUUGUUUCAUACAUGCUUUUGAGAAGCCAAAAAAUUUUAUUUAUAAUUUUUUGAUGCUAGUGUCCAAAUAAAAAAUAUUGUCUUGAUUAAUGUUGCUUUGACAAUUACUAUUUUGAUUAGAAGGAUUCUACAAUCAACUUCUUUGGUGCAUGCUGAAAAAUAUGAAAAGUUUAAGAGCUAGUAGCAAAAAAUGAUAUUCUAUCUAACCAUUGUGAACUUAUCAAAGUUCUUGACUAAAUAAAUGUCAAAACUAUUAGAUAAUGAAUAUAAUCCCACCAUUGUGGUAAGUGUUGAUGCUUGGAAUCAUAACUAUUUUGUAUGCAAAAAAUAUAUGUUGAAUGGAUUAGAUAAUGCAUUAUAUAAUAUGUAUAUUUAAAUCAAGAGUGUAAAAAUAUUAUAAGAAGCUUUGGAUAAAAAAUACAAGGUUGUUGAUGCUGUUAUGAAAACAUUCAUAGUAAAAAAAUCUUUUAGAUUUUAAGAUAGUUUAUUAAAGGACCAUUAUAAGCAAAGUUUCAAAGUUUCAAAUCAUCUUCCAUGAUAUUCUUGUUGAAGAUAUGGUUAUAAGUGCGUCUUUUCAAGCAGUUGUAAUUAUUGAAAAGUUGUAAUAUAUUGAAAAGAUUUCAAGAAUAACAUUAAGUAUAAGCUAAAAAAAUAAGAGUUGAAGACUUUAUCUUGAUAUUAAGAAUAGAAUAGAAAAAUAAAUGGCCCAAAAGAUAAGCCAACUCUUAUGGUAUGACCCCUAAAGGAAACAUUGUAGAACAAGUGGCAAAGUCCAACAAAAAAAAAUAAAAGAAAAAUCUUGUUGUAAAGAGAAAAUAAAUUGCCAAGAAGUUCAGUGGUAAAUUCUUCAUCUACAACAAGAUUGAACAUUUGGCUAAGGAUUACAAAAAUAAAGCUCAACAAGGGAACCCUAGAAAGAGAAGGACUACUCAAGCUAAUAUCAUUGAGGUUGAUCACCUCAUUAAUGAAGUUUUGAAAAUGAAGUCAACCAAAUCAAGAAUUUCAAGCGGUGAUGGAUUGAUAUUGGUGUAACAUGACAUUUAUGCACCAAGAAUAUGAUAUUUUUCAAUUAAAAAUAAGUGGAUGGUGAACACUUGGACAUGAAUAAUUUAUCAACUCUCAAUAUACUAGGUAGAGAACUAUAUGAAUAUUGUUGUCUUGAUUUAUAUAAAAAACUAAAUAGUUCAAGAUAUUGUAUUCACUAUUUAGACAACUACAUUAGAUAGUAUUUUACUAAGAAAUGUUCAUAGCCAAAAUCUACUUAUCAUAAGUAACGACCCUGCAAAUUAGUAUUUCCUAUGAAUCUUUUAUUGGCAUGUUUUAGAAAACCUAAAACCCUCUAUCAAAUAUAGAAAAGAAGCAAGGUUUUCUUGUAGUUUAUAUAGUGGGAAGAUAAAGAGUUAGAAUUAGUCCCAAAUGGCACAAAAGCUUUUAGAAAAAAGAGAUAAGAAAAGUGAGCUUUGAGUUUAAGUCAUACAAGCAUGCUCACUCGGAUCAGCUCGCACUUGAGCCUUAAGCUAGGCUUUGGCUUGGGUUUAUGUAGAACCUUUUUUUUUUUUACUACAAAAAAUUAUUUUUUCCAAUCUAUUUUUAGCUUGGGUUUGUGUUUGUUUUUAUUUGACCUAUAAAGAAUUAUUUUUUGCCAGCCCAUUAGGUUUUCUAGCCUAUAGUUUUUCUAGCCUAUAAAUAAAGAGUCUGAACAAUUUCUUUAAACUAGAUAAUUUUUUUCAUCCUAGAUAAUUUUUAUUCAAAAACAAAAUCAAUUUUAAAGCAAAACAUUUCAAGUUUAAUUCUAGUUUAUAGCAAGUAAUUAAGUCUAAUAAUGGUGAAAAUUAAUUUUGGUAAUUAAUAAAACUAAUUUUUUUUUAUCAAUUUUGGUUCCAAAUUCUUCUAUAAAAAGGAAAUAAAGAAAGUGUAUUUAUGGACAAACUUUUUAUAGAUUUUUUUUUACUCUUUUUCCUUUUUUCCAUUUUAUUCUCCUUUGUUUUAAGCUCAAAUUUGUUUUAUUUUUUCACAUUCUUUUAAACGUAAGUUUUGUCUUGGUAAAGAGAUAUUUUAGUAAAAUCUCUUUAAGUUCAUGGACUUUGUUUAGAAAUAAAACUAAAUAAGAUGAUGUUAUUAAAAUCGUAGAAGACUUGUUGAGAUUAGUCCAUCUGAACCAAGAAAUGAAGAAAUGAGAAAUACAUUCUCGAGAACAAAUAAUUGAUCAUUGACAACAAAAUAUUUAGCUUAAUUAAUUUUUAAUUACUUCAACAAGUAUAUAUAUAUAUAUAUAUAUAUUUGUUUAAAUACAAAAUUCAAUAUAUAUUUACUAUGCAUGCUAGGAUUUUUUUUUAAUAUCUUAUGUAAGUUUCAUUAUAUAUUUAGUAUGCAUGCUAGCAUUUUAUUUUAAUUGCAAGUUUACAUUGAUUAUAUAAAUUUCAUGCAUAUAGAUUAAACUUUUAUGAUCAUCAGUCUAAUCUUUGAAAAAAAACAUAAAGAGCACAUAAAAUCACACAGGAUAAUAACUUUUUUUUUAAGAGAGAGAGAGAUAGAUGUAAAUUUUUCUAUUUUAUAUAUUAAAGAAGUAAAUUAAUUAAGGUCAAAGAAAAUCAUCUAAUAAAAUCAAUAUCUUUUCGUUUUAGUUUGAAAAUAAGCUAAUAAAGUCAUGUGUGGCAAAGUUGAAGGGAGCUCAAACCAUAUAAAAUAAAAUCAUUUUUUUAGAGAUAUAUAUUUAUGGUGCAUGUAUAUCAAUUUGGCCAUAUAUUUAAUAAAUAUGAGUAAAAUUCAAUAAUGUCGGUCAUGUAAGAAAAAAUAUUGUGUUAUAUAAGAUUGAAGUUGAAACAAUCUAUUAAUUCAUUGAAAAAAGAAAUAUUAACAAAACAGGGUUUUAGACAAAAUGCUUUAGGAGUAGCAUUUUUUUUUUUUAAUGAUGUUUUUUAAUAAUCCCAAAUCUAUGUUUCUGGAAUCAAGAGCUAGAGCUGGUCUUCGAAAUUAACGAUUUAUAGGUAGCCUCGCAUCACCCUUUGGGGUUUGGAUAAGCCAACAUCGUGCAUCCUCUUAUAAACAAUGAAGUUAUAUAGUAAUAAAGUUCAUUUACUAUAUAUAAUUGAUGUGCGAAUCUCUAUGCUCAAGAAAAAUCAUGUGGGAUUCUAGUGGAAAUCAAUUCUAAGCAACAGCCUAUGGAUGUGAUUAUUAGAUGUCACAAUAUCUUUCAUAAGAGAUAAUUAUCAUUUUCUAUAUAUAUAUAUAUAUAUAUUAUAUAUAUAAAAGUGCACCAUUCCAAAAGUUUUUUUUAGUUUAAAGUAGGUGUCCGGGCCAGUUUGCGGGCACCUCGAUAAAUUUCAUGUACCCUGAAGUUAACAACCAUGUAAGUCUCCAGUGGUCAUCAUAUAAACAACCCAGGACUCGAACCUGAAACCACAAAAAAAACAAAUCUUUUUGUCUCAAAUUUUUAUUCUUAGACCAUCAUCUAAAUGGUUUUUUUUUUUUUAACAUGAGAAAAUACGUGCUUACAGUGUGCUCUUUUUUUAUGAAGAUUAUCAAGGACAAAAAAAAAAUAAAAUUCAUUGAACUAAUUUUUUUCUUAAAAAUCCCAAGAAUCGAUAUAAAUUUUUUGUCGGCCACCCAUUAAUUUGUCUGUCUGGAAAUUAGUGAUAUAUAUUGUCGGAGAUCAUUCAGUCAGUAAUCCCUGACAAAGACUCCGAAACAUUUUAGAACCGCAAAACGAAGAAACGAAAAAACUGAGAGUAAAUGUAGGAUAUGAUCAUGGGACGUCUAGUCAUGGCAUCGCGACAGCAACCCCUCGAUAUUGACUCCUUAUCCGUUUUACUACUGGUUGCUACUUGCUAGGGAGCCAAGGAUAAAAACUCUGCAACUUCAAAAGCUUAUUAGCUCAGUUUUUAAAUUUAUCUUUUAAUAUUUAUAUUUGUAAGAUUAGUUGAAUGGUAUAUAAACUAGAUAUUCAUAUUAAUUUUUUUAUAAAAAAAAAACUCUGCCAAAGCUUGUUGUAUAUGACUACUUAUUUUAAAACAAUAAUUUUGAACUUCUACAAUAACAUAUCCACACAAAAAGAAAAACAAGUGAUUUCUUAGCAUGAUUAAACUUUUCUAAUUUUUUUAAAAAACAAAACAAAUACCUCGAUUCUGCAUGGGAAACUAAGUUUUGUACUAAAAAAAUCAUCCCAAAUCAGUUUAAAAUAUCAAAUAAAUAAACCUGAAUUAUAGUUUAAAAUCAUUCCCAAAUCAGAUAUCAUCGACGACGAGUUUUCUCUCUUCAUCCUACGUGGGAUCCCAUGAAAAUAAUAUCUUCAACCAUAUUCACUCUGAGCAAGUAAAUAUAUAAACUUAAGAUUAUCCAUCCAGCUCUCUUCUCACCAUUCAUAGGCCGCUCACGAGAUUCCAUUUCUAUCCAUUACAGUAAUCGAAACCUGAAAACCACCUCCUUAUGCUCCACGUGGUUUGGAAUGUCAUAAAUAUUUGUACUUUGAAGCAGAUAGAAAGAGACAUUACAAUCAAAACAAGCUGCCAAAAACCCUGAGGCCCCUCAGCAUGUCCUUGGUGGCCCAUUCUUUCAUUCUUUGGCGCAUACAAUAUAAGCGUUAAGAUAAUGGAUAGUGUUGUCAUUUUUAGGUUAUGUGUACAACCCGCUUAGGCAACAAAAUAUGGUCUUUUAAGGUGUUUUAAAAAUCAUAUCAUCAAGUUGUUUUCAAAAAGCUCUGACAUGUCCUUGAUGGCCCAUUUUUUCAUUCUUUUUUCUCUUUUUUUCUCUUUUUAUCCUUUCUCUUCUCUUAUGACAUAUCAAUAUUAUAAUGAAUAUUUCAGCCCCAUUGAUUAGUAAUUAAAAAUGUAUUUUUAUCGAGAUUUUAUAUCAUCAUUUUACACUUGAAGUAUCAAUAACUCCUUAACUAAAAACAUGUUUUAUAAUAACAUAUCUAAUAAUAUAAGAUACCUUUAAUUUAUGGUAAAUGUUCAUCUUAAAUUCAGUCCUAUCACAUAAAUGAAAGUUUUGAUUGAUGAGUUUAAAUAUUAAAAUUGAAAGGACAAAAAGAGGGCCAAACUUAGAAAAGAGAUGUUGGUUUAGUCCAAACUGGAACAUUGUUCGAUAAUUAGGUCAUAUCUAGAGUUGUAGAUCUCGGAUUUAGGUCUGCUUUAUAUGGAUGGAAAGCUAAGACAUAAGCCUAAAAUUUUAAUGAAAGUCCAAGAUUUAAAAAGGUUGUUUUCAAGUCCAAAUUAUAGCAACAACGAAGAAGUCUGAAUCUGUCCUGCAACCUAGACAUUGUUUAGUGUUCAGCCCAUAUCUCGAGUUCUAGAAGUCCAAAUGACCUCAAUUUUUUUUUUUUAGAAAGCUGAGACAAUUUCCUAGAACUUUCAUGGUAAGGUUGGUUCAAAUUCUGAUGUUAUUAAUGAUGUUUUGUUCAGACAAGAAGAUAAGAAUUGUCACCAAGUCAACAUAUGGCCACCCACUUAACAAUUAGUCAUCAAAUCAAUAGUUCCAAAUUUUGGCCUAUAAAAGAAGGUAUUUGCCAUGCAUUUAGGCAUCUUGGUUGUUCAGAUCAAGAUUAUAUUUUAUUUCUCUCUUUAUAUUUUUGUAAUGCUUAAGUUUUGCUUUCAUUAAUUCUUGUUUAUACUUUCAUUUCCUUUCCUUUACUUAGUUAACUUGUAUCUUAUUUAUAUUCUUAUUUUGUUUAUUUAUGUUUCUCUUCUUUAUUAUGUUUAGCUAAGUUUAUUAUGUCAAGGUGAAAAUGUUACACUAAUGGUGUAAGAAUAAGUAUAAUAUAAACUCAAUAUGGACUUCAAUGCUUAUAUCGUAAACAAUUUGCUAUUAACAUGUCUUAUCAUUUUUAUCUUAUUAAUUCUUAAUACCUUGCUUGUUAAAUGGUUAAUUUAGAUUUGUGUUGUAUAACACUUGGUACAACAAAUGCUUGGCACUUUCAUAGCCCAACCGUAUGGUAUAACCUACACUUGUGCUAUGAAAGGAACUUGAUUUGUUGUUAACAUAAGUAAGCAUCAUGAAUUCCUAACAAUAUUUAAAAGUUUGAUGUUACUUAAAUAAGAUAAUUAAUAUGAUCAUGUUAACAAUUUAUAAUGUGCUAUUAGUGACAAAUCAUCCGAUUGGAACCUUCUUUGUGUGUGGUUUCUAGUUAAGUAAUAAAAAUAGUUUAUAUUAUACUUGUUUGAAAUACCAUUAGUGGAUCCUCUAACCUCGACAUUUAAUUUUAUCAUUGUUUAAUCCUCACAUUAAUCAAACAUCUCAAAGUCCUCUUUAACUUAUUAUUAUUAUUAUUAUUUAUAAUUUAUAUAGUUAACCUCACUGUGGUUGGACCCCGGUCUUGCCGAAUUAUUUAUUACUUCGAUAUUUCUACACUUGAAAGAAGACAUCAAUCUUUUGAUCGUGUCACUCAUUUCCUUCUUUUCAUGUAUGUGUAUAUAAAGGUAGGCAAAUGUGUUUUUACAUGGGUGAAAGUAGGGGGUGAGAUGUUUCAUACAAUUGUUUUUAUUUUAGUCUAUUUGGGACAUGGGCCAAAUGGAAUUUUUUUUUUAUGUCAGCUUGUUUAGGUCAUAGCCUAAACAUAUAUAUUUUUUAAUGUGCACAUCAUAUACUCCACUAAGUCUUUCAGAUGGACAUGUUUAAAAGACUUAACUAGUAAAAGUGGAGGAAGAAAAUACUUAAGAUAUAAAUUUUACCUAAUGUGGAUAAGAGAAUGUUACCAUGUUAGACAUUUGAAUGUUUACCUAUUUGUGUCUUACGAAGUGUCUGCAUGAAAGCUUUCUUCAUGUAAAUUUUUGAUAAUAUUAUUUUGAAAAGGAUCUUUAAUCCUUUUAGAGAUUAGUAAUCGUGGAGACCUGAAUAAGGAUCCUUAAUCAUUUGGGAGACAUUCGAGACAUAUAAAGAGAUUUAAUUAAGAUAUAUUUAAAGAUAUAAAGACUUGGCGUGUGAGAUUUUUCAUAGAGACAUGUAUGGAGAUAAAAUAUCUCGCUGUAAAGAUUUUCAUAGAGAUAUAUUUAGAGAUUUUAAUGUAGAUUUUUUUUAGAGACAUUGGAGAUAUGAAGAAAACUCAUUGUUUUUAUUAAAGAUUUGAAAAGAUGGAGAUAUAAUUCCUAGAGCUAAUUCGAGGACUAUUUAACCUAAGGUAAAUCAUCAAGUGUGCAAACUUUUGUCCUUUUAUUUUGAGGUUUUGUUUCCUUUUUCAUGAACAGGUGAAAAUAACCUUUGAUCAUCAAUUUUUCUAUCUUUGUUUUCAAGGCAUGACAUUCUUUAGUAUCAUGCCCAUGAUCAUGAUAUAAAAAAAAAGAGUUAAAUUUAUUAGUGUUCCUUGUGUUUGCAUAAUUUUUAAUGGGAUAAGGAUAUUGUAUAAAUUAUUUCCCUCCAUUAACAGCUGACAUUUCAGUCUGUGUGCUGGUUAGAGAGGUAGUCAAGAGCUUAAAGAAUGUCAAACGAUAAUAAAUGUGUCAUUUGGUGCUCAUUUUAGAUAAUCUAGUUAGAAACUAAUGAUGUUGAGUAUACUAUUUACAUUGACUUCUUCCAUCCUAAUAGAAUUUUUCAUUCACUAUUUAAUCAAAGUUAUAAAGCAUAUUAAUCAAAGAUUCUCUGAAAAAUAGAUUUAACGAGUCUUUCCACGUUGAAUAUUUCCUCUUUUGACAUUUGGAGAUAGGUCAUAGUGCUCACAUCUUCUCUAUAUAUGAUAGAGAAGAUUUCAAUGGUGUUAUUUUUAGUAUUUAUAUGAUACCAUACACAAGCAUAUCCAUGUUGCGUUGUUUGAAAAACUUUACACGAUGCAUCAUUAUUUUAUAUGACAAGCUCUAUGAUACUUCUCAUAUAUGUAUUCUUAAUAUCCUGAGCUUGUUGAGAUUUUCCCAUACAAUUGAUUGAGUCAUUUUUCUUUGUAUUAUGCUUAACUUUCAUUCUUAUACGUGUCAUGGAAAUUAUGGUGUAGUUGCACUUUCAUUUUGUAACAUAUAAUAAGAUCUAGCACACUACUAAAAAAUAUGGUAAUUAGCAACGGACUAUUCCGUUGCAAAUACAACUGAAAUCCGUUGCUAAAACAAUUUAGCAACGGAAUCAGCAACGGCACAAAUCAGAUGCAGAUUUGUCGUUGCUGAUUUGUUUGCAACGGAUAAAUCCGUUGCUGAUUUCGCAGCAACGGAAAAUCCGUUGCUUAUAAAAAGCAACGGAUAAUCCGUUGCUAGUUUGACGAAUCAGCAACGGAGAAUCCGUUGUUGAUUCAUGCAUCAGCAACGGACUCUCCGUUGCUGAUGCACGCUGAUGCCUGCAUCAGUUGCAAUCACCAACGGAGAAUCCGUUGGUGAUUGUAUUAUUAUAUUUUUAUUAAAUUAAUUUUUAUUUAUUUAUUAAAAUGAUUUUUAAUUUAAUUUUAAAAUGAUUUUUAAUUUAAUUAUUAAAAUGAUUUUUAAUUUAUUUAUUUAUUUAUGGGUAGUUUACAAAUUGUAGAAUAUAUAUAACCAACAUAAAUUAAUAUUAACAAUAAUUAAUAAAAAAUAGAAUAAAAAUAAUAUUCAUAUUAUAAAAAUUUAGUUAAACUUGCAUUAAUACAAUUAAGUUCAAAUACAAAAAAAACAACAAAAGAUACAAUCAUGGUUCUGGUUGCGAAGACGAACCAUAAUAUUGUUGAUCAGGAUAUAAAGGUCGAGGUGUAGGUCGAUAAAUUGGUUGAGAUGUGGGACCCAUAGGUGUCAUUAUCUGAGGAGCCAUAUGUGGCGGUAUUGAUGGAGUCAAAGGUGGUGGCAUACCUUGAUCAAUAUUUGAUGUCCCGCCAUGAUAUCCAAGAUUGUUCACAAGAUAUUCUUGCAUGGAAUCCAUCUGCCGUUUCAUUGCAAAAAUCAAAUCAUCUUUUUUCUUUAUCUCCUCUUGCAAUGCUCGAUAUGAUGAACUGGGAUAUGAUGACUCCACCGAGUAGGAAUGUGAUGAAGAGCUUGGACUAACUAUAGAUUUUGGCAUACGAGGUGCACCAUAUACCCUACCCUUUGUAACUCCUCCUGAAGCCGCACACCAAGCUGCUCCAUCAAAUGAAGGAUGAUUUUCCCGAUCAGUUCCAUACUUUGAAAUCAUCUCCAUUUUAUAAUUUUCCUACAAAUAAAAUACAUGCAACAAUAAAUUAAUUUGAAUGUUAAAUAAUACUUGAGUUAUAUUAAGAAAUAAUCAAAUAAAAAUACAUACAACCACUUUUUUUGACUUGUUAUCGACGAAGCUACCAGACUGCUUGGUACUUUGAUGCAAAGCUGAAAAGACAUCAUCCCAUGGAGGUUCUUUUCCACCAGCUUCCUCUUGCUUUCAAGAUUAAUAAAUAUUAUAAAAGAUAAAUUUAUAAAUUUUAAUUCAUUAUCUUAAGCAUAAAAAAAAUAUAUCCUUACCAUGUUAGCUCGAUAUGAUGCAAAUGACACCGUUCCUCCAGAAUGAGUGCUUAUUUUGCCAUCUGUUUGGGAUAAUCGAUUCCUCCUAGCAGAUUCAGACCUCCUUUGAAAUUCAGGGGUGGACCAAACAUCUUUGAUCAUUUGAUUCCAAUCAUCAUUGUUUAUCCAGGUAGGACCUUUAUCAAGGCAAUCUAUAAUAUUUGUUGUGUUUUCUUUUGCCAUGGCAUUCUUGCGAGCUCGUGUCAAUUGUUGAUUCAAAGCUAUCCUAGCCUUAUCUUCCCAAAUAUUACGAACAAUCGACUCAUCUUCCUCAGAAAAGGAAUAUUUUUUCUACCAAAUAAUAUAUAUACCAAGUAAAAAGAGUGCACAAAAUUUCAAAUUAUAUAAAUAAUUAAUCAUAUUGUGUUAUCUUGUUCAGAAUUUGCAAGAAAAUAUAAUAACUAAAGAAAUUAAAUGAUAUUAAAGAGUAAACAAGAAAUAAGAACAAAUUAUAACACAAAUCAGUCAUAGCUAUUCAGUUGAUAAUUUUCAUAAUGCUACAUUAAAGUGAUCAAAAUUAAAAAGAAUAUUAUGGCAAUUAGUGUUGGUUCUUACCUUAAACUCUCUAAAAAGUUCAUCCCUGCACAUGGAAUCUACUUUUUCCCAAGAGUGCCAUGCUCCCUUAAAAUUGGACCUCAAAAUAUCUCCAAUUGCACAUCCACAUGAUGCAUUAUUGAACCUGAAAAUACAUAAUAACAAACUUAUAUUAAACAAAUAAUUAUACAAUAAUAAGUAAUUUUUUUCAUACCUGAAAAUAUAACCUUAAUCAGUUAGUUAUUAAAAAGUUGAACUUACUCUGUUGUUCCAUACAAACAAAGCUCUUUUUUUCUUGUUAUUGGAUCCAUUGGCGUGUCAAAACCCUUCCUUUUCACAAUUUGAUCAUAAUUGUAUGGAGAAGAUGUUGAACCGUGAUAUGAUGGAACACCAUCUUCAUCCUCAUCACAUACACCUCUCACAUUACUACCGUCUCCCUCAUCUCAUCUCUAAUAUUCACAUCAUCAUCAUCAUCACCAUCAACUCUCCCAUGACUCCCAUAUAAAUUAUGUCCUCCAUAAACAGUUGGUUAUCUCGAGAGAAACCUCCUUGAGUUUGAAGCAAAUCCUGAAAACGAAAUCCCUCACAAUAUUGAUAUGCAUCAACCCUCCCAUAAUCAUGUUGAGAAGGAUGUGUACUCCCCAAAUGAGGUAUAUAAUACUCAUUUGUGUUCUGAUACACAGGUUGAUGAACUGUGGAUGCUUUGUUAUUAUGCCUUGAUGUAGUUUGAAAUGAUUUGGAUGAAGUGGACUUGUCACUCCUUGAUGUGGACCUGUCACUCCUAGAUUCUAAUAUGGAUCCUCGUCGAGGCAUGCUAAAAACCAGAAAAAAUAUAUACAUUAUCAUAUGAAUAUAUACAACAUAACAAUAAUAGCCAUCACUCCGAAAAAUAUUAUACUUCAAAUAAAAUAAUUACUGCAACAAAACCAAAUAUGUAAAUAACAUCAAGACAAUUUCAUUAAGCAUUCUUUGCAAUGACAAAAAUCAGCCAUGAAGUUUAAAUUGUCAUAAGCCAAUUAACACAAACAAUAAAAAAAGAUAAAAUUCUAAAUAAUUAAUUAAGCAGAAAUCAAAAUUUAUGAGUAUGCUUACCUUAAUGUUUGGUCCUAUAAAUCAAAAGAUUGAGUAGGAAAAACCCUUUCUUUCACGCUUCAGCACCUAUAAGCAAGAAAACAAAUCACAAAAUAAAAUAUAACAUCAAAAUCACAAUUUAAAGAUUGAUACUUGAAAGGUUAUAAAUGGUUUCAAAGGUCAAUGAAAAUGAUUUAUGUAAUGUGAUGCAUAACACACACUUGAAUAAAAUAAUAAUAAAACAAAACAUUGAAAGCCUAAAUAUUGUCAAAUAAUAUGAAAUCAUCCAUACAUAUAAUAAAGAUAAUUCAUUACAUAUACUACGAAAUAAAAUUAACUUGUGCUACUCAUUAUUAUCAUCACUCCUAACCAUCACCACCAUAACAAUCAUCCUCAUCAUCAUCAUCAUCAUCAUCAUCUUCUUCUUCUUCUUCUUCUUCUUCUUCUUCUUCUUCUUCUUCUUCACCAUCACCAUCUUCUUCUGCUUCAUCAUCUUUGUUUCCCCAAUUUAUGUCAAGUUGAAUCAAUUCAUGUUGCCCGAUUUCUUCAUAAUGAGAUGAUUCAACAAGUAUAUUUGGAUCAUCAAGUGUUUGAGUAGGAAGGACAAGAGAUGGUUGAGAAAUCUCAUCUGAUUGAUCAACAUCAAAUGAUCUCACAUUGUUUGCAUCUUCAAUAAAUUCACCCAUAUCAACAUUAUAACGACUUCUAGCAGUUGUCUUAAUAACCGUCCACCAUUCAGAUGAUUUAUUACCAGGUGGAUAUGUAUAGUAGACUUGUUGACAUUGUUGUGCUAACACAAAAUCUUCAUUUCCGUGUAGUCGAGAUGUAUGCUUGAUUUCAACCAAACCAUUCGAAGGAUGCACUCUAAUCCCUCGUUUUGUAUCAUACCAAUUACAUUUAAACAUAAAUAACUUGCACUUACUCCCCAAGUAUUUUAGCCGAACAACUUCUUUAAGCAUUCCAUAAUAAUCACGUUCAUCAUCAUCAUAACAACUUCCUUUCACACAAACUCCACUAUUCAUUGUCUUUUUAAAACGACCAUAACGUUGAGUAUGAAAUUUAAAACCAUUCACAUAAUACCCAUUAUAACAUUUCACUGAAGUUGAAGGGCCCAUAGCAAGUCCAAAGAGCUGAUUUUCAAUUCCAUUAGAUUGGUAUUCCACCUAGCAUAAUAGUUAACUCCAUAAGAAAUAAUGAUUUAAAAGAUAUUAAUAAUAUUUUUAAAGUAGCUAAUUGACAUAAAAAUAUAAAUUAAUUUUAUUAAAACACUUACAUUAUUUUUUAACCAAUUUGGAAAAAUCGCUUCACAUAAUUUUUCUAUUUCACCAUCACUGGCAUGUGAUUGUUGUGACUUUAGCUCUUGUCGACAUUGCCUAAAAUUUUAAAAUGUUAAAGUUAAUAACAAAUUAUUAUAAAUUUAGUACAAAAUAAUAUUUCAUACUUACUCUAAAUAAGGCUUCAGUUCUUGACAAUUGAAUAUCACAUAGUUAUGCGCAAUUUGCAUUUCAGCAUGUGACAACUGCCUUUUAUAAAAUCUUUUGGAUAAUUUUUUCCCUGGAUAGGAAAAAAUAGAGAGACAUCCAUCUACACUUCUAAGGCCACCAUCAUCAUUCCGUGGAACUCGAUUCCAAAUUGUUUGCACGUCAUCACCAAAAUAAUGAGAUGCAAAAUUGGUAAUUUCAUCAAUCAAGUAUGCUUCACAUAUGGAACCCUCAACUUUAGCUUUAUUGGUCACUUUCUUCUUCAGAUAAAACAUAUACCUAUAUCAUUUAUGUCAAUUAGUUUAUUUUUUAAAAAUCAAAAGUUAAUAAAAUUAACAUAGUAUGAAAACAUACCGUUCAAAUGGAUACAUCCAUCGAUAUUGAACUGGUCCACCAACUUUUGCCUCGUAAGGUAGAUGUAUCGUCAAGUGUUCCAUGGAGUCAAAGAAUGAUGGAGGAAAAAUCCUUUCAAGUUUGCAAAUUAUUUCAAUUAUAUUCAUCUGCAUUAACUCCAUGUGCUGGGCAUUCAAAUUUGUUGAACAAAUAUCUCGAAAAAAUACGGACAAUUCAGUUAAUGCCUCCCACAGUGGCCUAGGUAAGUAAGGUCGGAAAGCGGUUGGAAGAAGUCUUUGAAUGAAGACAUGACAAUCAUGACUCUUCAUCCCUGAAACCUUACAUUGUGCCUCUUUCACACAUCUUGAAAUGCUUGAAGCAUAACCAUCAGGAAAUGAUAAUUCCUUCAUCCAUGACAAGACUUCUUGUUGUUGUUUCUUGUGUAGACAAUAAGUGCCUUUAGGUUUGUAAACCCGACCACUCAUAUCUUGUUGCAAAUGCAAAUUUGGCUUCUGACAAUACAAUUGAAUAUCCAAUCUAGCCUUUAAAUUGUCCUUGCUUCUAUUCGGACAAUCCAUAACUGUAUAAAAAAUAUUGUCAAAGACAUUUUUCUCAACAUGCAUGACAUCAAGAUUAUGACGAAUCAAAUUUGUAUGCCAAUAUGGAAGCUCCCAGAAAAUGCUCUUCUUCACCCAAUUAUGCUUAACCCCAAAGCCAGGAAUUUUAUCAUUAUAUGAUGAACCUCCAUUAUGUCCCUCAGUAUACAUGGACACUUCGUUUAACAUUUCCAAACCAGAUGGACGAGGUAAAGGAGGGAGCAUUUCAAUUACUCCUUUCAAAAACUUAUCAGAUUGAAAUCUAUAUGGGUGGUUCAUAGGUAAGAAUCGUCGAUGACAAUCAAAAAAUGUAGUUUUCCCUCCAUUUUUUAAUCUAAAAGCCUUGCUAUGCUCCAUACAAUAAGGACAAGACAGAUUUCCAUGAGUACUCCACCCCGAUAACAUGCCAUAUGCUGGAAAGUCACUAAUUGUCCACAUCAAAGCUGCCCUUAAUUGAAAAUUUUCCUUUCUGUAUACAUCAUAUGUUUCAACACCAACAGACCACAAAUUCUUUAACUCAUCAAUCAAAGGUCUUAGGAAAACAUCAAGCUUUUUACCCGGAUUCUUUGGCCCAGGAAUCAUCAUUGUCAAAAACAUGAAUGGUCUAGUCAUGCACUUCCACGGAGGCAAAUUAUAAACAGUCACAAUUACUGGCCAACAAGAAUAUGUAUUUGAAGACAUGUCAAAUGGACAAAACCCAUCAGUGCACAACCCUAACCGAAUAUUUCUCGGAUCUGAUGCAAAGCUUAAGUGGACACGAUUAAACUCUUUCCAUGCCUCCCCAUCAGAUGGGUGCACCAUAACCCCAUUAUCAGAAUUAUGAAAAUGAUGCCAUGUCAUAUCUUUGGCAUGAUAUGGAGACAUGAACAGUCUCUGAAGCCUUGGUGUUAAGGGAAAGUAUCGGAGUUGCUUCUCCGCCUUAUUGGAACCUUUACUAGUUGGAUUUCUAGGUUUGUAUCGUGAACUUCCACAAAAAUCACAAUUUAUUUUCAUUGCAUCUGCCCCAUAGUACAGCAUACAGUAAUUAGGACACACAUCAUAUUUCUCAUAACCAAGUCCAAGUGGUCGCAUAAAUUUCUUGGCAUCAUAAAAAUUUGAAACCAAAUUUUCAUCAUUAGGCAUGCAACUUUUUGUAAAGUCAAUAAAAUUAUUGAAGGCAUUCUGAGUCAAAUUUAAAUUUGACUUCAUAUUGAGCAAUUGUACACAAGCAGAUAAUUUGGAUUGCUUGGUACACCCAUCCCACAACGGCUCCUCCGCAGCUUUCAAAAGGUUAAAAAAUUUAGUUGCCUCCGGAUUUGGAAUUUCUCCAGCUACCACAGGACUAGACACAUUAUCAUUAUAGAAUGCAUCACCAACCCCCAUUGCAUCCAUAACCAGAUUCCUAUAUGGAUUCUCUAGACAAACAUCAUUCACAGCAUGACUCAUUAUAAUCGAUGAAGGUCCAGCCAAUAUUGGUUCUGCGACAUAAGGCUCCCCAUGUACAGUCCAAUUUUCAUAACAAGGUAAAAAACCUUUUGUCAAUAGAUGUUUACAAACAUCAUCCUCCUUUAAAAACUUUUGAUUUUUGCACCUCACACAAGGACAUCUAAUUUUUCCCCCAGAUAUAUUUUUAUCAAUUGAAAAUGCAAAAUUGAUAAAUCUUCUAACACCGGUAAUGUAUUCAGGACAAAGGCGACCAUCCAUAAGACGACGAUACAUCCACGAUCGAUCAUCCAUGUUAAUCUAAUUAACAUGACAACACCAAUAAGUAUUUUUUGAAAUAAGCAUACUUCUUUAACUACUAGUACUUAAACAAUCCUUUAAAAUAAAAUAUGUACCACAUGAAAGGCAGAGUUCCAACUACUUGAAAGCAUUACAAUAGGCAUGCCCAACAGAAAAAUCAUGCACGAUAUAAUUAAGCAACCAUGUAAAAAUGGAGCAAAAUAGAACUUACCGAAUCCCCAAGAAUCAAUGGCACAAGGUGGAGGUUUUCUUAUUGCAACCCAAUUAGAUUUAGCCAACUCUAUUGGAUUAUAUUGUGAUCCAAUAAGCCAUUCAUAUUGCUGGAAAAAAAAAAAAACAUAAACAGUAUGUUACACCCAUCAAGUUAUAACAAUUUCUAGUUUUUAAAACAAAUCCAAGUUAAACUAUGAAAAGCAAAAAGCAUAUACAAGUUAAAGAAUGAAAUUUUAAUAUUUGUUUGGUACUUGUCUUCUCAUAACAAAUAUUUUUUCAUUUUAGAUAUAACCUGAAAUUUUUCAUUUAAUUUAAUAGCCCCUGUUUUGAUUCCAAGGAUGCGUCUGAAAGGGUGGAAAGACAUGAAGGGAAAUAAAAUGCACAGAGGGACCGGAUGCUUGCUUUGUGUAAAAAGCUUGAAAUGAUCCAGAAGACAAGGUCUUCCAGAUAUGUGCUAGCUAAUUGGAAUCUGUUGGAAUUUAGCAGGAGAAAAAAGCAGACAUCUCCUUUUCAAAUGGGAAAUCAUUACUUGCAAUAAAAUUCACUAGUUAGUAACUCUUGAAUGGGGAACCUUAUUUUUUUUUCCUUUUUCUUCAGUUUACCCUUUUGAUUUUAUGUGGAGUACUCAAGUUCUUGAGAUCUCUUAUAAAUAAAGCACAUGAAAAGAGGGGAUUUGAUUAUUAAAAAAACAAAAAAACCUACCUAACUAAUUAGAAUAUGGCAUAUAAUUUAAUGACCAAGCAGACUGGUAAUUGCUUGAUGUCCAUAGAUGUUGGUUCUCAAAACUCAAGAAUUGUUUUUUUUCUUCUUAUUAUUAUUAUUAUUUCUAUGUUAAACUGGUUAUACGUGUGCUCCCAUUAACAUCCACACAGUACUGUAGUCUUCGGGAAUUCCAAUAUAAGCUUGGAAAAAACGAAAAUCACCCACAGAUAGUGUCCUUUGAUGGCUCAACAAAUAAAGCAAAAGAGACUGGUGCUAUUAAUUGUUGCAUGUGCAUCAAUAAAUCAAGAAUCUUGUUUGGUCUUAUUUCUUCCUGAAAAAGCGUUGCUUUAGGUCUCUUUUAUCUUGAAAUUAUUCAAUCCAAUUCUUAUUUAUUACUACAUGAAAUGGAAGGAAAAACAAUUGACGUCUGUGCUUUAAUAUACAGCAAUACAUUCAUUAAUUGAAAAGAUUGCUUUAAUUUACAGCAAUACAUUCAUUAAUUGAAAAGAUUACAAUAGGCAUGCCCAGUAGACAAAUUAAGCAUAAUCUAAUUAAGCAACCAUCAAAAAAUGGAGCAAAAUAGACUUACCAAAGCCCCAAUAAUCAAUGGCCGAAGGUGGAGAUUUCCUUGUUGCAACCCAAUCAGACUUAACCAACUCUAUUGAUUUAUAUUGUGAUCCAUUAAGCCAUUCAUAUUGCUGGAAAAAUAAAAAACAUAAACAGUAUGUUAAACCCAUCCAGCUUUAUCAAUUGCUAGUCUUUAAAACAAAUCUAAGUUAAACUAUGAAAAACAGAAAGCAUAUCCAAGUUAAAGUACCGUUUAGUUUUCAUAUUUUCAUGGCAAUUGUCUUCUCAUAACAAUUUUUUUUCUUCUAAGAUCUAACCUAAAAACAGAACACUUGAGACUCAUAACAUGAUCCAUGGUUUCUUCUGUUCAGACUUGAAACGACAGCAAAGAUGACUGAAAUUAAAGGCUUUUAUAAUAUCAUUAUAUUUUGCAUUAAUUUGUCGUAAUCUAAUUAUACAAUUAUUAUAUUUCAUUCUAAUUAAAAACUAUCAUUUAUAAUAAAAAAAUCUAUAUUCUUUACAGUUUUUUUGUCUUAAUGUAAAGAAGUUUACGUUAUCUGUGAUGAAAUAGUUUGUUUCUUUCCAUUAAAGUAAAACAGUCACUUCAGAAUCCAAACCAUUUCUUGUCCUAAUUAUUUUUUUAAUUUUUUGCUUUAUCGAUAAAUCAGUAGAUUGUGCCUACAUUAAGCCACUAAUUAGGAUACAAACAGAAUCCAACUAAAAGUAGCAAAUGGAAGACAAAAAACAGAACAUUUAAACAUCAGUACUUAAAUAUGCAUAUUUAAAUUUUGAUACAAGAGAAUCAAUACACACCACUUAAUCAAUGCAUAGGUAUGUAGACUCAGUCAAAUGAAAUAAACCUAAGGUAUCUAACAGGAACCUGAAACACAGAAAUCAGUAUCCUGAUUAUGAAUCUGCUUAACUUCAGAAAUUAUCAUGUGAAUUUGGUUUGAUAUUAUGAUAGAAGAACAUCAUCAACAAUCAAUCUUUAUAUCUUAACCCAGCUUCGUUUUCAAAACAAAAGGCAUCAGAUCAGCAGCAGAUAAGAUCAAACAACAUAAUGAAGAACUACACUAAUGCACUAGUAUUGACAGAGAUUAUGGUAAUGUUAUAAUAUUUUGUCGCGCGUAUUCAUAGAAUUCAUUCUCCUCUCAUGGUUUAAGAACACAAAUUACUAAAUGAACAAAAACAAACACUACUCAUGGUUGUAUCUUGAUGUCAGAAUACCAUGCCCAAUCAACUGCUAUCAAAUUCAAUAAUACAGUACCUGUAAGACCUAAAUUCUAAUCUGAAACCCUUCAUAACUUUAACUAUUUCGAGUGUUAUCAAGCUACUUUGACUGGAAAAGUUAGUUGCUCUAAAAAAUUAUGUUGUGACCCGAGAGACAAUGGGAGCAAAGGUGAUAAAAGCCUUGUUUUGUUUAAAGACAAUUAUAUGCCUAAGGAGAUGAGAAAAUGUGGAGAUAUAACAUUGGAUCUUACAAAACAGGAGUUUGAACAGAAAAAAUCAUCCCACUUACACGAUGAUAUGAAGGUAUCUCAUGGGGGAAAACAACUAUCUACUGGCAAAAAGAAACCAAAGGGAAGCAAAAAUGAUUAUAGCUCAACUGCUGGGACAUUCAAAUAUUUAUGAACCGUAACCCUAAAAAUUAAAUUGGGGGUUUUGAUAAAUUUUCAAUUACACAUGCUUAAUUACGUUAUAGAUCAUGGUAAAAACAUUUCAUAACACCUAUAUUAUCGAAUUAAUAGCCUAAAACCAUUAUUCAAAGCAUUGAAAAAAAAAAUGUUACCUGUGUUCUUGAGUUACAGGUGACCGAGAUCGUUCGACAUGACAGAAAAAAAACCUGAGAUUGGGAAAGUUGGGUGAAAAAUUUUUAGUGCAAGUUAAAUUGCAACAAACAAAACAAAAACAAAAACCAUUAAUUACUUACCUGAACUAUUGAAGAAAACCGUGAAACACCCAACCCGUUUACAAUGAGAUACCUUAAACCAGCAUGUUCGAUGGUGAUAAUGAUGGGUCUGGUUCGAUUUUGUUCAGAUGAAGGAGAAGAAUUAGGGAUCCUGAAGACGCGAAGAAGAUGAAAUGUUUGGGAAAAAGGAAAAUCAAAUCGAUGAAGAGAGGGUGAUUUUUCUACACUUAUGGAUCGAUGUUCUUAGGGACGAAGGAGAUCGACUGGAAGAGUGGAAGAGUGGAAGAUCAUUAAUUUUCACCUGUUGGUUUUGUUCAUUUGGUCUCGAUCUGUUUGCAUCUCGGUGUGGGGGGAGAAGUUGGUGCGGAUGGAUUUACCAAAGCUAGCAAAGAAUAAACGGUUGAGAUUUUAUCCUUGGAAAUGUUAUCAACGGUCUUCGUAAAUUUGGUUUUAUAUUAAAAUUUAAUUAAUUAUUUUUUACUUAGCAACGGAAAAUCCGUUGCUAAAUUCAACGUAAAUUUUGCAACGGAUUUUCCGUUGCUAAAAUCCGUUGCUGAUAUUAAAAAACUAAUAUAUGUGUAAUCCGUUGCAAAUCUGAUACUGAAUUUAGCAACGGAAUUUUCCGUUGCUAAAUUCCGUUGCUAAUUGCCCCUCUUUCUAGUAGUGGCAUGACAAAAACUGCAAGCAUAAGUACGCCCAUAUAUUUCAUCAAAAAAGGAACGUACAUGUGGAUGAUAUACACCCAAGUUUAUUUAAAUUAGGAGGCCAUAUAAUUUAUUCUAGUACAGUAGGGCAUCCUUUUUUAUCAUACAACUCAAAAGACUCACGAGGACAUUCAUCAUCUCAUCACUCACAAGCAAGUCGUGGCGUAGGAAUUGAAUUAAUGAACUUGGUGGCAGCAAGCAUGGCGUUGUAGGAGGCUAAAUAGCUAAUUCCUGAGUUUGAACUUGUUUCACCAGCUAUAUUUGAAACACCUUGGAACACCACGAAGAGCUUUUCAUUUGACAUAGAUGUCUGCAAAUUGGGACACAAACAAAUUCGUUAACCAAAUUAAUCAUGCGUAGCUUCCUAGCUAAAAGGCAUCUCUAGAAGAAGAAGAAGAAACACAAACUUUUGAGCUCGUAGAAGGUUUUUUUACUAACCAAAGCUACAGAAGCACUUGCUGUAUCGGCAGUUUUUGCAUCAAAAUUUUUGUUAAGGAAGUCUCCGUAUGCUUUGUUUCGAACGUAAAAAUCAGAAGUAGAACCCUUGGAUCCGAAGACAACUUUGGGUUUUCCGGGCAGGCAUUUAUCAGAAUAACAUUCUCUUAACUUCAUAUCCUGCAAUGAAUAAUCAAUUAAUUAUUGUAGUUAAUCCACUUGAAAAUUCAAAGAUAUAUAUAUUCAUGGUCUCAAUAAUAUCAUUAUAGGCUUAGCGAUAGUUUUAAUGGCAAUGAAGAAGAAACAUGCAGCUAAUUCAGCUGAAUAUUCUGAGAUUGACAAACCUUGAGCUUAUUAGUGGCAGCUUCAUACCAGGAUGCGGUGAUGGGAAGCCAGAAAACUUCCUUGGGUGCUUCACUUGGAGUGAACAUGUUAAUUUUCUCAUACUCUACAGUCCCCAACAAGUUCUCUCCAUUCUCUGGAUAAUUGAAGUCUCCAAAUACCAGAUGACCUUUCUCCUCCGCUCCGAAUUUCUGCAUGAUAUAGAAUUGAUUACGUAGUAUUAAUUAGUCCCAACACCACUGCUGAUAUACAAUGUAAGAACUUUUUGAUUUUUAUGGAUUAUUCUUGUUAUUUGUCAAGAUUAUAAUAUAUCAUUGUUUUCUUAUUAGCUAUAUAUUAUACUAUAUCACUGUCACUAUGUCAGAUAUGAUGUACGUCUUUAAAAUAAAAUUUAAAAAAUCAACUUUUAAAACAAAAAUAGAAAAAAAACCAUAAAUAAUAGCAAAGGCCCUACGCACCUUCCAGUUCCAAACUCCGGUGAAGGCAACAGCCUGCGGCACAGAAACAUCACCUGGAACCAUUGUUUUCUUAUCCAAGCUUCCAGCGUUCCCAAAAUAGAUGACUCCGUGAAUUUGGAAUCUAGCUAAAAGGAUUUGCAAAGCUGUUGCCAUAUUUACCUGUCAUAAAACAAUAUUUAAGACACGAAAGAUGCAAGUUUCUUUCGUUAAAAAUAAACAAAUUAAGGUAGAGUUAGUCUUACUGAAGCCCUCCCUGUCUUGACAUAUACAAUAGAAGAACCGUUGAGUGUCCCGCUAUGGAACCUUCUGCCCGCAAUGUCAACAGAGGAGUCUUCACUGUCAGGGCUAUAGAGUCCGGAGUCUUUCAGAGCCCUUUCGUUGACAUCAGAGGUAAAAACUAGCCCUAAGCGGAGGUGUGCGACUUUGCAAUUGCUUUUCUCGAUCUCAGCAAUGGAGUCUAUCAAACUCGCUUGCAUGGACUGCUGUGGCAUAACCAGCAGCAGCCCAAGCAACAGCAGUGCUGCCAAAUUGACUCUAGACAUUCUAUGGAGCUCAAGUGUUAAAGUGAAGUGACAAUGCUUUAGAUAAUUAAAUGCAACUGCUUUGUUGAAUGAUGGUAUUUGGGUGCUCCUCAUGUGCCUUUAUAUAGAAAUCGACCAUAGCUUCUUCUUUUUUUAACGCAAUUACAUAAAUGCCCUGUGUUGUUAUAAUUGACGACGUUGAAUAUCUCAAUGCCUCUCUCAUGGCAAUUUUUUUAUAUAUAUUUUAUUAAUAUUGAUGUCUAAACCAGUUUGCGUGUGUAUAUAUCUUGAUUAAUUUUACGAGUUUUGAAAUUAACAAUCAUGUAAGGUUUUAAUAGCCUUAAAAUUUUAGAACCUGAAUUGAUGAUCUUUAUAGAAUAAAUUCAGGAUCUGAUCAAUUGAACUACAUUUUUCAGAGUUAUGAUAAAUUAUUAUUUUAUUAUUACUUUAGAUAAAUUAUUAGUAUAUGUUGUACUCUGUCCUGAAACCACAAUUAAAACUUUUUUUGAAAAAAAGUUGCUAAAUUUCAAGAAGAUUAAUGCAAUUUUCUAGUUAAAUUAGUUAAGUAUAAAAGAAUUUAAAUAAUUUAUUAAAAGAUCCUAGAACCCAAAUUAGUUUACAGCAUCACAAACGGAUUGAAAGUAAGAAUGAGUAGUGUUAAUGAACAUUUUUCAUAUUUAUUAAAAAUAAAAAACAAUAAAAAAAUUUUAAAACUGCUCACCAAACUUUUUUUUUAUGAAACACAAAUUCAAUUAUUAAAUUUAAUAUGACAUUAAAAUCUUGAUAAUUAAAUAAUUAUGAUUUCAAAUUUUAUUAGUCUUAUUUUUUAAUUAAAUUAAAAAUUUAAUAUAAAAUAAAUUUAUGUAAAUUUCAAGUUUUAUUUUCUCUAGCUUGUUUGGCUUAUAAUAAAAGAGAAAAAAGGUCCGUGGUCGAAAGAAAAAGAAAUUGAAAACUGCAAUAAAAAAUAGUUUCUUUUUGAGCUUUAACCUUUUGGAGAUUUUUUCAUAUCCUGAGAGUUGUCAUCACAAUUAAUGAAGAAAAAAACAAAACCGUCACUGGGCCCAAAAUAAUUUUGCAUCGGUAGUACAUCUAAAUAAGUAUUUGGAUUUGAACAAUCGUACACACAUUAUCCAUAAUUUCUCCAUCCAAAAUUAAAAAAUUAAACAACAUAAAAAACAAAAUAUACAACGACAGCACAUCACUUAAACAAAAGAACUUUCAAAUUUUAAAGCAUAUCCUUUAAUGGAUUAAGUACUAUUUUACUUUUUAAAAAUUAUCAAUUUAAAUUUUAUAAAUUUUAAAAUUAUUAGAAAUAUAUGGGAUUAUUAAUUUUAAAACUUAUAAAAUUAAUUAAAAUAUUUAUAAACUGACCCAAAUAUCCAUAUUAAAAAAAAAACCUAGAUCCGUCAUUAUUUAAGCUAAAGAUAAGAAAUAUCCUUUAAAUUGCCUCAUAUAAGCGAUGCCAUGUUCUGAAUUAAUACUAUUUAGCAUUACAUAUUAUUUUUAAAUAAAAUUUAUAAGUGAUAAAUUAAAGUUUCAGAAUAUGUAGUAUAUUUAAGAUGAAUGAUAAUGCAAAAUUAAAAUUAAGAAAAGGGUCUCUAGCCUAAUUUAAAAAUAUUAACAUAGACUAGAAGACGUUUUCUUUUUUAUAAUUUACUGAACAAUUAAUAAAUUAUGACAAGAAGUAUAUAUUUUAUAAAUUUUUAUUAUGAUUUAUAUUUGAAAGUAUUUGAUUUAUCUUACACUAAAAGACCAUCAUAUCUAAUAAAAAAGUAUAUGAUCAAGGGGUGUUGAAGAGAGAGAGGGAGGGAAAAAGAAGGUGAGGGAAAAUAGGGUUUGCCACCGGUGAAAACCAAUAGCGAUGAAGGGUUGGUAAAGAGGGAAAAAAAGAGAGAUAAAUUCAUCUAGUCAAACUUUAAAUUAGUGGUGAUUAUUUUUAAUUUGAUUCUAUUUUUAUAUAAAAAAAUGUAAUUAAACUGAAAUAAAAAAAAUAAAACCAAAUCAAAAUCGGUUCAAACCGACUGGUUUCGGUUCUUUUUUUUAGACAAAAACCGGUUCAAACUAGUUGGCUUUGUUUUUUCGGUUUGACUCAGUUUUUUCUUAUUUGACUCGGUUUUUUCAGUCUGGCUCCGUUUUCCCGGUUUGAUUUGGUUUUUUCGGUUUAGGUUCGAUUCAGCAUGGUUUUUUCAGUUUUAGACUUAUAAAAUCGAAACUGAACCUGUCGUUUUUUUUGAAAUUUUAAUCGGUUUAAUUGAUUUUUUUACGGUUUGGUUUUUCAAUUUUUUUUCCCAGUUUUUUCGGUUUAAUUGGUUUUUCGAUUUUUUUACUUACCCCUACUUUAAAUAGAAGUUUCUGUAGCUAGUUAAUGUUCUUGUAAUUGCCAAUACAAUAAGUUUUUUUUAAAAAAAACAUAAUAAUAGUGCUUUUAAAAUAUGCACUCUAUAAUUUUUUUUUUAAAAAUAAUCAUCUGAAACUAAUGAAUUAUUUAUUACUAUAGAUAUGUAUAUCUUAAAUCCAAUAUUAAAUAGGAUUCGAUGCCCCUCAAGUUAAUGAUAGCAUAGUAUUUAAUUUUAGUUAAAUCCUAACCCUUAGAUUGUUAAUUGAUGGCCAGGAGCAUUACAUAUAAUUAUACUACUCCUAAAAAAUAAAAUGAAAUUCCUAAUUUGAUCACAUUUUAUAACUUUACCUUUAUAUAUACCUAAACUCAUUUUAUAAAUGUUAAAAACAGUUAAUUUCCAAAUCGAUCCAACGUCUCAUAAUAACUCUAGUUUUGAACAAAAAUAGGAUUUAUCAUAUAACAUAUUUCUUGUGAAUGGAAAAGUAUUCUUUUGUUAUUUUUCAGAUCCAAUAAAUCAAAAAGCAUAAAACGAAAAUGAAAUCUUAGAUUGAGCUAGCUUGCAGUAAAUAGUAUUAAGAUUUUGAUUAGUUGGGACAAAAAAGAGUUCGACAAAAUUCAUGUACCUAUCUAUUUUUUUUUUUAAUUAUUGAGCACUUUACCUAUUUAUUUUUUAUUAUUGAUUAGGGUUAAAAUUUUAUUAGAAUUUAUUCUUUAAUAAAAGUUUUUUUACAAUGGAAUAUCAAUAUGGUUAAAACAAAUUAUGAGUGAAUAAAAAAUUAAUUUUAAAAAAUCUUGUUUGAAAAACCUAAAAAUUUUUAUCUUAUAUGAAAAAAGAUUUUAUUUUAGUUUAUGUUGCUACCCAAUUUUUGACCCAUGUUUUUGAGAUAUUUUCAAAAAAUCCAAAAAAUAGAGAAAAACAAUGAAAAGCAAAAAAUAUGUUUGUUAAUAUAUUUUUGUCAUUUUAGCAUUUUCAACGUCGUCUAAAAAAGAAUUUAAAUUGUUAAAAGAUUUUCAAACGCGUUCGACUUUUCACGCGUCAUUUUUAAAUCAUUGAUUUCCCGCAUUUGAGUCGACGUUGAUAUUGCUCGUUUGCAAAAAAUACAAAAAAAGAAAAAAUCAAAAUUACAAAAAAGAAAGAAGUUGAGGGACCAAGUUGAAAAACUUGCAACAUUUUUUGCCUAUAAAUACUGGUUUCCAACUCUUUCAAAGGGGGGGGCAAUUUUGAAAUAUCAUAAAAUACAAAAAAAAAACCUAACCCUAAACCUAUCUCAACCAAGCCUGCAGCCCCCCUUCUCCCUGGUUUGAAUUUUUUUUCCACAGCCGCCGCCACAAACCGAAGCCAAACAGCCCUUCCCUCAGCUUCUACCCACGCUGUUCCCCAUAUUUUUCACCUUAACCAGAAACCGUCACCGAGACCUUCCCCUCUCCCUGCACAAAAGGAAAACACAAACCCAAAGCAGCCCCUCCCCGGGCUAAAAUUUUUUUCUCCAACCGUCGGCCAAGACUUGGCUCCCCAUUUUUCCAACGUUCCAGACUUCCCCCCCGAAGGCUCUGAUUUUUUUUUCCUUCUUCUGGCCGGCCAAGAGCUUGGCUCUAGAGCCCAAACAGUCCCCCUCAAUUUCUUUCCUACCGCCACCAGAGAACCAGCCAUCGCCGAUCUCCCUUCCUCAUCCCCACAGCAGCAGGCGAUCUUCCAUCUUCAACCGGUCAGCAGCAGGCGCCUCCACCAAGCCACACCGCAGCAGACGCCUCCAUCGAGCCACACAGCAGCAGAGUCUCCACCCGAAGAAACAGAUCCACCAGCCACUUGAAACAGGUCCAGCAGUGACGUCUCCACCUCCAGCGUCCUCCCCUCUCUCGGCCGACCCAGCUUCAACAGUACCGACCGACCAGCCACAGCAGCACCGCCCGAAACAGAGGAGGAGGAGAAGACACCCACCACCGUAGCUGGGCAUCACCGGAUCUGCAACCAGACGCAGAUCUGCAAAAGAAAACAGAUCUAAGAAAUGAAACAAACAAAUUAAAAUCAACUGCCUGUGUUGUUUUUGGGUUCUUUGCAGGUCGUCGCCGGCGUUGGGAGGCUGAGAAGAAGAAGUCGAUCAAGCCCCCUGCUGCGGUUUUUUUUUCCGGUAGCGCGUGAACCCACGCGCCGCCAGUGGCGGGGGCGCGUGGGAAGACGCGCCGGAACUGUUCAUGCGGGUGCAGAAGUCCUUCCCUGCAAUUUCGGGAGUUUUGAGGGACCAUUUUGUAAAUUUUAAAGUUUUAAUGUAAUUUUUGUUUAUUUAUUUUAAAUUUGUAAUAUGUGAAUGUAAAAGAAAAAGAAGAAAAGAAAAGAAAAUAAUAAUAACAAAGGGGAUGUGUGUGUUGGUGUAUUUUUAUUUAUUUAUUUUGAAUUUGAAUUUGAAUUUGUAUUUGUAUUUGUAUUUGUAUUUGUAUUGUUGAUGUAAAAGAAAAGAAAAAAAGAAAAAGAAAAGAAAUGAAAAUAGUGAAUGUGUGUGUUUGUAUUUUGUUUUACUUAUUUGUAUAUAUAUAUUAUAUAUAUAUAUAUAUAUAUAUAUAUAAUUUAGGAUAAAAUUGCAAAUAUAUUAAAGAAGAAUUUAAUAUUUUGAUCGGAUCACGGUUAAGAAUUAUUAACUUAUACGUAAGUGAUAUUUCUAAUUUCCGAUGAAAAGACAAUUAUUAAAACUUCUUUAACACGUCAAAGCCACGAAGCAGCUUACCUCAGGUAGGGUGCGUUAGGGGUGCUAAUACCUUCCCUAACCACAACCAGUCCCUUACCCGCGAAUCUCUGACAAGACCAGUACAUCCGGUUUCCUAGUAGCCCGAAAUCAAUUACUAGGUGGCGACUCCAACGAACCAAAUUCAAGCAAACAACAACGAGACGAAAAAUCGCCAGCCGAUGCCGCGCGUUGAUUGAUUUUUUGGGGUGCGACAGAAUGGCGACUCCACUGGGGAAGGUAUUUUUUCGAUUAUUGGACUAAGCUUUGUGUAUUUGAUGUGUUUAAGUUUUUGCAUUUUUAUCUUUUUGUUAAUAUUUAUUUCCAUGCAUUUUAUAGAAUUGUCUCAUACAUCACCUGUAUUUAUUUUGAAAAAAAGCACACACAAGCUUCUAGGUUAGGUGGGGAACUAGCGAUCUGCCCUAAGACUAUUGGUCAGGGUUCAGAUGCGUGAAACACCCAACUCAUAUCUGAGUGCCUGCUUGGUAAUGGUGGGUAUACGUGCCUUAACCAUUCUUUGCAACGCCCCCAUACUGUCUUUACGAAGAACGUCACUGGGCAGAUAUGAGACCCUUUUGAGACUAGAUAGAAAACCUAGCCAUGUUCACAUAAUGAAUAGAACUUGUCCUUAGGUUGUAUGUGCUACCGUUUUUUGCAUAAGGGCAAACCCUUCUUGAAGCAUCUUGAACUCAAGACUUGUGGGUGACACAUUGGCCGUUGCUCCGAAAAUUUUCAUUGUAGAGUUUGGGCAAAAAUCACGAUUCUUGUCCAUCAUACAAGAGUUACGACCAUAUUAUCACCUCUCGAAGGGUGAGUUCAUCAUAUAGAUUACAUGUUCAUACAUUUAUCAUGCAUGUACCGGGCUGAAAGGUAGGUCCCCCACACAAGCUGUGCUGCACGUGAUGGAGGUGAAGAAAUGUGUCAAAUAGAGGCUCAUUAUCAGAUUAGGGUUGAGAACGUUAAAUGUGAAGUAGCUAGACUCAGAUCUGCUCGAACAAGUGUUGAACAUCAAAUGGAAAGAGAAUAUCUGCACAGUCUUCCGUGGGAACACUGCCUGUUCACAUCUAAUUGAAGCUGUAUCUCUCCUUUUUCGUCAUGAACAAAAGCAACAACGCCUUCAGUCAUCAACUAAUGACAACUCUAGUUCUUGUCCAAUUGCAUUGUUAAGUGUUCAUCGCCUCCACAUCAUCUAAUGGAACCAAACAACUACAUGCCUCUUGUACAUGGUGCAUUAGUCUGUUUUGAAGUUACCCCAAUUAUGAGCUCAAUUCUAGUUCAGCAGCACAAGAUGUUGGUCUGAAAAACCAUGAUCAGACACUGAAUUUCAACGCGGUAGAACUCUCUCUGUAGAGAUUUAUUUGUGGAUCUGCCAAUGGAAAAUGCAAAAGGGGAAUGUAUUAAUUUCAUAUGCUUUGAAACUUGUUCCCACCAGUGGCACCGACAAAACAUUGUAGUAGGCAGAAGAGUCAAACCUGAUCUGAUAAUAUUAGUAGUUGUCAAACUUCAAUGUGGCAGAGCUCUCUCCAAAAAAAAAAUAAUAAAAAUAAAAAAAAAUAAAAAAAAAAUCAUUUAUGGCUCUGCAAAUUGGGAAUGCAAGAGGGGAUUUAUAAGACGCAUAUGCUACAAAUAUUUCUCUCAUCAAUUUCAGCACGAAGACCUCUUAGUAGGUUGAAGAGCCAGACCUGGUCUGAAAAAAAUAUGAGCAGACAUCAAACUUCAACGUAGCAGAGCUCACUCAGCAGGAAUCUGUUUGUGGAUCCGCAAGUGGGAAGUCCAAGAAGGAAUACAGUAGUUUCAGGUCUUCUAUGAUUUUCCUCCAACAGUGUCAGUAUUAAAACGCAAGAGAAGAGAGAAGAGACAUGCCUAGACUGAAAAACAUGAAGAAUACUGAAACUUCAACAGAGCAGGACUUCCUCUAUAGGUGUUUGUUUGCUGCACUGUCAGUGAGAAAUUGAAGAGGGGACAAAGGAAUUUUAGAUUCAUCAGGUGCUCUUCCAAUAGAGACAAUGUGUGAUUCCACACGUCGGUAGUGGCGAUACUACAAGUUUCUGGGCGCUGCCAAGAUUACCAAGCUGUUAGAAAGUUUUCUAACAAUCCUCAACCAACCAUAGCAACAUUGGAAGAUUGAAAUAAUGUUGUGAGGAUUUGCCGAAGAAUUGAACAAGCUAUGAAGAGAAGAAAGAUUGAAGGAUCUGCCAUGGAUUCUAGAACAAUGAUGAGAGGUGAAUCAGGAGAUGACUUUGAAGUGUGAACCCUUAAUUAUGUGGUAUAGCCAGGUCUCACGGCAUCAAUUGCUCAAAUAUCUUUGCCAAGAUGGGACAUUCCUCUGCCGUUUAAGUUGUCGACCAGCAUCCGCAAGAUUCCAGAAUUUUGCUUGACUCCGACAAAUCCCAUGCAACCACCAAUUUCUAGUGGUAUAAUCCAGAUAAGAGAUGUGAUGUCAUGGUGGGGUCCUCAACCAUUUCAAGUGAACAGUUUCAAGAAUUGCAAGAAUGAGUCUGAAAGUUGGUGAGCAAGAGACAGUGGAGUCGUUGAAGAAGGGUGUCACUGGCUAUAUUGUUCCCCGAACAUCUUCAGAAUGACAUGUGAUCGAAAAUGCUUGCAAAACACAGAUAUUGCCAGAAAAGCUGAUUCGAGAAUGGUGAUGAACAGUCAAUCAUAUUUUAUGGAAUUCUGCAUUUUGUUUUGGGAUCACAUCUCAUCCUUCAACGAAACAUGCCUUGCUUUUGUCUCUUUGUUGUUUUGAAAUCAACAGAUGUUUAGCAUUUUAUUCUGACAAAAUAUUUUGAUCAAACUCCAACAUGCGAUAAAGGUUAAUCAAUCCGGAAGAUUAAAAGUGUUUUGAUUACAGAAAUGACUCGAUGCUUGAAAAUGACAUGAGGUGACAAACAAUUUUGAACUCAUACCUCCUGAAACUGAACCACACAUCAUAUAGCUAAGUUUUACAGUAUGCAUAAUGACAUGUAGUGGAUUCGGUAGUUAUGGACUCGUGAAUCAUGAUUCUUACAAGUCCCAAUCAUUACACUGGAUGAGGUCAAAAUUUAUCGGUUCUAACCGACCUUGCUUGAAAUGAGAAAAGGCCAUCUUUGAUAUCCCUUCACUUUCUAAAGAUUAUAUCCCUUGCAGUCCCAUUUUGAGCCUGGUAAAAUAUUUUCUUUCAAAAAAAGAAACCCUGACUAGGAUCACACCCCACACUGGGGGCAAAUGAGAGAUAUUUUGGAGACAUUGAUAUAAUUAAUGGAUAAAGGGGAAGGCUUAGAACAAAGGUCCAAUGAUUGAGAGAGAGCUAAAAGAAAACACAUAGACUGGGGGCAUAUAAGAAAAUUUUGAGGAAGGCUAUGAAAAAAAAAGAGAAUGAAAAAAAGGAAGUUGAAAUUGCCCUCACUUAAAUACAAGUCAAAGAUAAAGGAAGGAGAACGCCUAUCAAGUCUAUGAAGAGCAAAAGAAAUUUCAAUCAAGGAAAGGCACAACAAAAGUCAAUACCAGAAAAAAGACUAAGCUAUAAGCGUUGACUUUUGGUAUCCAUUAUAAAGCCUAUGUUAUCAGAUGAUUAAGGUUGGUUAUUCAUCAAGAAAGUGGAUUUGCAUUAUGACUUAUGUUAAGAAAAGUCUGAACUUUGAGGUUAACAAGGUUAUAUGUCGUUUCCUCUACAAAGACAACAAUAUAAAAGAGUUGAUGAAUAGUUGAUGUUGAUCCUAGGUCUUUGAAACCCUCAAACACCUUUUGAGCCUUUGAAAUUCCUUUCUUUCAUAGCCAUGAACCAUAGCCUGCAUUACGUGUUUUUAAAAGCCCUUUUUAAUCAAGCAAGCAAUUUGAACCGAUAAAUGGCGCUCUCAAAAUUUGAAGAGUUUUUCCAUAAGGGUCGUGACUUCAUGAAUUAAGCUAUUGGUUAUUAUGCAUGCUGAUAAAACAAGUUAUAAGAAGAGAAACAACCUUUCUUGAUAAAGCCGGAGUUUUGACUUGAGCAUUUUUGUUUUUUUGAAAUUCAUGCAAAGGUCACCUCAUCAUAGACUAUCAAAUGAUAUACCCAAUAUCAAGGAUUCAAAUUGAUACAAAGAACCAUGGAAAAAGCCAUUUUUAAUCCUACAUUGGGUCAAUUUCUGUUUUCAAAAUGCAUGACAAUCAAAGGACUAUAUAUUUCGAAUAAAAUGUGUUGGGCCUUUGAUCAAAAAGCUUGAUUUUCAAAAGAUUUUCAAAAAAGACAUCUCUGAUUUCAUUUCAACAAACUAGACUUUGAAUAGACAUGAUCUUUGAAAUAUGAGAGUUGAUUCCAGAACAAGGAAGAUUAUCAAACACAGAAGAACAUUGAUUGAGUAUGCAAAAUCGUUGAUAGAAAUGACAUUGAAGUCCUCGACACUCCUUGAAAGGUUGAGCAGCUGGGGGCAAUACAGUAGACCUUGAAAAGGAAAAACAAGUAGUGCUCAGAUCAGCUAUGAGGCAAUGUUUAAAUGAUGAAUCAGUGAACUGAAGACAAUGAUGUUCAAAGACAGAUAAUCAAUGAACGAGCACAUUCAGAUCAUACUGGGGGCAAUGUCAUUCCAAAAUGGCCCAUGCUCUAGUGAACCCUGUCGGCAAUGGAGAAACAAGAUGUACCUGAAGGACACUUUCUAUCAUCAUCUUUUGAAACAUGGCUAGCGAUCGAUGAGGAUACACAGAUGAAUGUAAUUGAAUGGGAAAAGAUGCAUACCACCAAGACUGACUGUGGAACAAUGCUGCACUUAAAGGACAAUCUCAUAUUGUCAUUCUUUGAAACAUGGUUAUAGACAGAUGUUAUCACACAACUGCACUGAAUGAAUGUCGGAAAGGCACCCACCUCGAAGACUGAUUGUGGGACAAUUUUCUGAAGCCAGAUGAGCACUUCACCGCAUGAUAUGGGUGAUAAAAGCGCAUCAUUGAUGAGGCCGAGACAUUUCUUUUCACAAUCUGAUUGAAGAGUUGAAGGGAAUCUAUGAGAAGAACACUGAGCAUACAACCAUGAGCCUUUUACUGCAAGCUAUGAGAUGCAUGUCUGGAUGACUGAUGAGUUCCAAGAAGGCUGAUGAUAACGUACUUGAAGAGUAUGUUUCAACUAGAGGCAAGUUCAUGACUGAUUAACAAUUUGAUGGGUGUUGGCAUGAUGCACACAAUCAAUCAGAGGAUAAUUCUCAGAAGAAGCCAGGAGAGAAAAUCCUUCAUGAUGAAUCAAGCAGUACCACACUUGGGGGCAGGGUCAAGCUUGAUGAACGAUGCAAGCAGUAAUUGUCGAAGACAGCCCGGGAUGGGCACUGCAUUUACAGCUGAGUGGAUGGCUAGCACAUGAAUGAGCCAAUGCAUCGGAAGAACAAAGAAAGCUUUGGGAUACAAACAAGGGCACCCUAUGACGAUGGAGCAUCAAAGAGGGGGGACCUAUUAUUUCAAAUCAGGUAAGGAUGCAUGCAUAUCAUCUAACCUAAAAAAAAAAAAAAAAAAAAAAAAAACCAUUUGCACAUAUUUUUGAAUUGUUACAGGAAAAUCCUUAAUGAGGUCCAGCAAGAUGGUGGAAAGAGAAAGAAGCAUUGUGGUGAUGAUAAUAAAGAAUCGGUUUUGAUCAUGGAAUAAAAGGACGAUGGGAUGAACCCUACCAUUAGGAAAAUCCCAAAGAAAUGAAUAGAUCAACCUUGCAACCGGGAAGCCUCGAGUUUUCAACCCUUGCAGUCAGGAAACACCGAGUUUUCAAACCCAUGAUCGGGAAUUAUCAGGAAGCACCAAGUUUUCCAGCCCUUUCUUCUGUCAUCCCUUCAAACUUCGCCAGGUAAGUCCUAUUUUUCACACACUUCAUUCAUAUUUUUUCCAUCUGGGUAGGUCACCCAUACAAUGAGACCACACUUCAAUUUUUUCCACUGGGUAGGUCACCCAUUACAAUGAGACCGCACUUCACAUUUUUUCCAUCUGGGUAGGUCACCCAUACAAUGAGACCAUCAUUUUUCCAGGGUUCGUCACCCAUACAAUGAGACCAUCAUUUUUCUGGGUUCGUCACCCGUACAAUGAGACCAGCACUAGGGUUCGUCACCCGUACAAUGAGACCAGCACUAGGGUUCGUCACCCGUACAAUGAGACCAGCAGCACUAGGGUUCGUCACCCGUACAAUGAGACCAGUAUUUUUCGAGGGUUAGUCACCCGUACAAUGAGACCAGAAUGAGGUCGCCAGAUGGGAUCUCAUGUAACUUUGGUUAAAGGGAAUCGCCAGAUGGGAUUUCAGGUUAACCGAGUUACACAUAUUUUCGUCCAGUUGAAUGAGGUCGCCAGAUGGGAUCUCAGGUAAACCCAAUGUGUGGGCAGGUCGCCCGUGAAAAUAGACUAUUGGGAGAGUGUGGGUCGGUCGCCCGUGAAAAUAGACUUGAGUGAGUAUGUGUGGGCAGGUCGCCCGUGAAAAUAGACUUGAGUGAGUACGUGUGGGUAGGUCGCCCGUGAAAAUAGACCAGAGUGAGUAUGUGUGGGCAGGUCGCCCAAGAUAAUAAAAUCAUUUUCCGUUUGUUUUCUUUACAAAGCUUACUAUGCAAAAUUUUGAGGAUUUUCGCUUCGUAAGCAUUGUAAAGAGGGGGCAUCUGUUGCUACCCAAUUUUUGACCCAUGUUUUUGAGAUAUUUUCAAAAAAUCCAAAAAAUAGAGAAAAACAAUGAAAAGCAAAAAAUAUGUUUGUUAAUAUAUUUUUGUCAUUUUAGCAUUUUCAACGUCGUCUAAAAAAGAAUUUAAAUUGUUAAAAGAUUUUCAAACGCGUUCGACUUUUCACGCGUCAUUUUUAAAUCAUUGAUUUUCCGCAUUUGAGUCGACGUUGAUAUUGCUCGUUUGCAAAAAAUACAAAAAAAUAAGAAAAAAUCAAAAUUUACAAAAAAAGAAAGAAGUUGAGGGACCAAGUUGAAAAACUUGGCAACAUUUUUUGCCUAUAAAUACUGGUUUCCAACUCUUUCAAAGGGGGGGGGCAAUUUUGAAAUAUCAUAAAAUACAAAAAAAAUAACCUAACCCUAAACCUAUCUCAACCAAGCCUGCAGCCCCCCUUCUCCCCUGGUUUGAAUUUUUUUUCCACAGCCGCCGGCCACAAACCGAAGCCAAACAGCCCUUCCCUCAGCUUCUACCCACGCUGUUCCCCCAUAUUUUUCACCUUAACCAGAAACCGGUCACCGAGACCUUCCCCUCUCCCUGCACAAAAGGAAAACACAAACCCAAAGCAGCCCCUCCCCCGGGCUAAAAUUUUUUUUCUCCAACCGUCGGCCAAGACUUGGCUCCCCAUUUUUCCAACGUUCCAGACUUCCCCCCCCGAAGGCUCUGAUUUUUUUUUUCCUUCUUCUGGCCGGCCAAGAGCUUGGCUCUAGGAGCCCAAACAGUCCCCCCUCAAUUUCUUUUCCUACCGCCACCAGAGAACCAGCCAUCGCCGAUCUCCCUUCCUCAUCCCCACAGCAGCAGGCGAUCUUCCAUCUUCAACCGGUCAGCAGCAGGCGCCUCCACCAAGCCACACCGCAGCAGACGCCUCCACCGAGCCACACAGCAGCAGAGUCUCCACCCGAAGAAACAGAUCCACCAGCCACUUGAAACAGGUCCAGCAGUGACGUCUCCACCUCCAGCGUCCUCCCCUCUCUCGGCCAACCCAGCUUCAACAGUACCGACCGACCAGCCACAGCAGCACCGCCCGAAACAGAGGAGGAGGAGAAGACACCCACCACCGUAGCUGGGCAUCACCGGAUCUGCAACCAGACGCAGAUCUGCAAAAGAAAACAGAUCUAAGAAAUGAAACAAACAAAUUAAAAUCAACUGCCUGUGUUGUUUUUGGGUUCUUUGCAGGUCGUCGCCGGCGUUGGGAGGCUGAGAAGAAGAAGUCGAUCAAGCCCCCUGCUGCGGUUUUUUUUUCCGGUAGCGCGUGAACCCACGCGCCGCCAGUGGCGGGGGCGUGGGAAGACGCGCCGGAACUGUUCAUGCGGGUGCAGAAGUCCUUCCCUGCAAUUUCGGGAGUUUUGAGGGACCAUUUUGUAAAUUUUAAAGUUUUAAUGUAAUUUUUGUUUAUUUAUUUUAAAUUUGUAAUAUGUGAAUGUAAAAGAAAAAGAAGAAAAGAAAAGAAAAUAAUAAUAACAAAGGGGAUGUGUGUGUUGGUGUAUUUUUAUUUAUUUAUUUUGAAUUUGAAUUUGAAUUUGUAUUUGUAUUUGUAUUUGUAUUUGUAUUGUUGAUGUAAAAGAAAAGGAAAAAGAAAAGAAAAAGAAAAGAAAUGAAAAUAGUGAAUGUGUGUGUUUGUAUUUUGUUUUACUUAUUUGUAUAUAUAUAUAUAUAUAUAUAUAUAUAUAUAUAUAUAUAUUAGGAUAAAAUUGCAAAUAUAUUAAAGAAGAAUUUAAUAUUUUGAUCGGAUCACGGUUAAGAAUUAUUAACUUAUACGUAAGUGAUAUUUCUAAUUUCCGAUGAAAAGACAAUUAUUAAAACUUCUUUAACACGUCAAAUCCACGAAGCAGCUUACCUCAGGUAGGGUGCGUUAGGGGUGCUAAUACCUUCCCUAACCACAACCAGUCCCUUACCCGCGAAUCUCUGACAAGACCAGUACAUCCGGUUUCCUAGUAGCCCGAAAUCAAUUACUAGGUGGCGACUCCAACGAACCAAAUUCAAGCAAACAACAACGAGACGAAAAAUCGCCAGCCAAUGCCGCGCGCUGAUUGAUUUUUUAGGGUGCGACAGUUUAGAUAAUAGAAUGAUGAAGUAUUAAAAUUAAACCUCGGGAGCACCAAAUUUUCUAGAGAAAAAUAGUCUAAAUAAAAUGAGCUGCUAGGGUCAAAGCUAGGCUUGACUUGGGUUUGUAUAUACUAUUAAAAAUGUUAUUAAUAUAAUUGUGCAUGCUUAUAAAUCUUUUGUUUGUUAAUUUGUUUAGCAUUCUAUAGGUGCUAAACAAUUGUUUUAUUUGUUUCAUAGCUGCUUUUGAGAAACCAUCAAAAUAGAAAAUAAUCAUAACUUCAUAUCUUCAUAUCGUGAUGUAAUUAUCUUAAUUAAUAUUGCUUUGGCAAUUAUUAUUUUGAUAAGAAAGAUUCUACAAUCAACUUGUUUAGUGCAUGCUGAAAAAUAUGAAAAGUUUAAGAGCGGGUAGCAAAAAUUGAUAUUCUAUCUAAUCAUCUUGAACUUAGCAAAAUUCUUGACUAAAUAAAUGUCAAAACUGUUAGAUAAUGAAUAUAAUCCCACCAUUGUGGUAAGUGUUGAUGCUUGGAAUCAUAACUAUUUUGUAUGCAAAAAAAAUAUUUUGAAUGGAUUAGAUAAUGAAUUAUAUAAUGUGAAUAUUUAAAUCAAGAGUGUAAAAAUAUUAUAGGAAGCUUUGGAUAAAAAAAUACAAGGUUGUUGAUGUUGUUAUGAAAACAUUCAUAGUAAAAAAAAUCUUUUGGAUUUUAAGAUAGUUUAUUAAAAGACCAUUAUAAGCAAAGUUUAAAAGUUUCAAAUCAUCUUCCAUGAUAUUCUUGUUGAAGAUAUGGUUGUAAAUAAGACUUCCUAAGUAGUUGUAAUUAUUGAAAAGUUUUCAUAUAUUGGAAAGACUUUAAGAAUAACAUUGCUCAAGAAAAUAAAAGUUGUAGACUUUAUUUUGAUAUUAAGGAUAUAAGAGGAAAAUAAAUGACCUAAAAGAUAAGCCAACUCUUAUGGUAUGACCCCUAAAGAAAACAUUGUAAAACAAGUGGUAAAGUCCAACAAAAAAAAAAUCUUGUUGUAAAGAGAAAAUAAAUUGCUAAGAAGUUCAAUGGUAAAUUCUGCAUCUAUAACAAGAUUGAACAUUUGGCUAGGGAUUGCAAAAAUAGAGCUCAACAAGGAACCCUAAAAAGAAAAGGAUUACUCAAGCUAAUAUCAUCGAGGAUGAUCAACUCACUAAUGAAGUUUUGAAAAUGAUGUCAACCAUAUCAAGAAUUCCAAGCAAUGAUGGAUUAAUAUUGGUGUAACAAGACAUUUAUGCACCAAGAAUAUGAUGUUUUUCACUUACAAAUAAGUGGAUGGUGAACACUUGGACAUGAACAAUUUAUCAACUCCCAGUGUACUAGGUAGAGAACUAUGUAAAUAUUAUUGUCUUGAUUUAUAUAAAAAACUGAAUAGUUUAAAAUAUUGUGUUUACUAUUUAGACAACUACAUUAGAUAGUAUUUUACUAAAAAAUAUUCAUAGCCAAAAUCCACCUAUCAUAAGUAAUGACCCUCCAAAUUAGUAUCUCUUAUGAAUCUUUGAUUCUUUUAUACCUGUCAGAUAAUUUCUAUUCAUGUGAAGGAUUGUUAAAAAAUAUUUUUGAAACCAUUGUUAAUUGGCACUUUUGAGGCCAAAUUAAAAACGAAGUCUACUGACUUUUAGAGUUAAGACUUUAUUGAAAUUUAUUAUUCAACAAAAGCUCUUUAACAUAUUAUAUAAAAAUUAUUAAAAUAAAUUAUGGGCGACUAAGAAAUUAAUCUCAAAUAGACCUUUCAUUGGCAUGUUUUGGGAAACCUAAAACCCUCUAUCAAAUAUAGAAAAGAAACAAGAUUUUCUUGUAGUUUAUAUAGUAGGAAGAUAAAGAGUUUGAAUUAGUCCCAAAUGGCACAAAAGCUUUUAUAAAAAAGGAGCUAAGCAAAGUGAAUUUUGAACUUCAGUCAUACAAGCACGCUCACUUGGAUCAGCUCGCACUUGAGCCUCAAGCUAGGCUUAGGCUUAUGUAGAAUCCUCUUUCUCCGGUGAAAUCAUAUGACAUGGUCUGGUCCAAUCUCUGACUCCUCGAUUAGGAAUAGUUUUUACUACAAAGAAUUAUUUUUUUUCCAAUCUAUUUUUGGCUAGGGCUUGAGUUUGUAUGAAGAUUCAUUUAAUUAAUCUUGAGGUAAAUUUUGGCUUGGGUUUGAGUUUAUAUUUAUUUGGCCUAUAAAAGAAUUAUUUUUUGCCAACCCAUUAGUUUUUCUAGCCUAUGAAUAAAGAGUCUGAAUAAUUUCUUUAAACUAGACAGUUUUUUCAUCCUAGAUAAUUUUUAUUCAAACAAAACAUCAAUUUUAAAGCAAGAGUAUUUAUGGACAAUUUAUGGACAAACUUUUUAUAGAUUUGUUUUUACGCUUUUUCACCUUUUUUUCAUUUUGUUUUCCUUUGUUUUAAUCUCAAAUUUGUUUUAAUUUUCCAUCUACUUUAAAACUCAAGUUUUGUCUUUGUAAAGAGAUAUUUCAGUAAAAUUUCUUUAAGUUUAUGAACUUUGUUUAGAAGUGAAACUAAAUAAGAUGAUGUUAUUGAAAUCUUAGAAGACUGGUUGAGAUUAGUCCAUUUGAACCAAGAAAUGAGAAAUACAUCCUCGAGAACAAAUAAUUGAUCAUGAUAAAAAAAUAUUUAGCUUAAUCAAUUUCUAAUUGCUUCAACAAGUAUUUAUAUAUAUUGUUUUGUUUAAAUACAAAAUUCAAUAUAUACUUACUAUGCAUGCUAGGAUUUUAUUUUAAUAUCUUAUGCAAGUUUCAUUAUAUAUUUAAUAUGCGUGCUAGCAUUUUAUUUUAAUUGCAAGUUUACAUUGAUUAUAUAAAUUUCAUGCAUAUAGAUUAAACUUUUAUGAUCAUCAGUCUAACCUUUGAAAAAAAAAAAGAGCACAUAAAAUCACACAGGAUAACAACAUUUUUUUUAAAAGAGAGAGAGAGAGAUAAAUUUUUCUAUUUUUAUAUAUUAAAGAAGUAAAUUAAAUAAGGUCAAAGAAAAUCAUCUAAUAAAAUAAAUAUCUUUUCGUUUUAGUUUGAAAAUAAGCUAAUAAAGUCAUGUGUAACAAAGUUGAAGGGAGCUCAAACCAUAUAAAAUAAAAUCAUUUUCUUAGAGAUAUUUAUGGUGCACGUAUAUCAAUUUGGCCAUAUAUUUAAUAAAUAAGAGUAAAAUUCAAUAAUGUUGGUCAUGUAAGAAAAAUUAUUGUGUUAUAUAAGAUUGAAGUUGAAACAAUCUAUUAAUUCAUUGAAGAAAGAAAUAUUAACAAAACAGGGUUUUAGACAAAAUGCUUUAGGAGUAGCAUUUUUUUUUAAUGAUGUUUUUUAAUAAUCCCAAAUCUAUGUUUCUGGAAUUAAGAGCUAGAGCUGGUCUUCGAAAUUAACGAUUUAUAGAUAGCCUCGCAUCACCCUUUGGGGUUUGGAUAAGCUAACAUCGUGCAUCCUCUUAUAAACAAUGAAGUUAUAUAGUAACAAAGUUCAUUGACUAUAUAAUUGAUGUGCGAAUCUCUAUGCUCAAGAAAAAUUAUGUGGGAUUCUAGUGGAAAUCAAUUCUAAGCAACAGCCUUUGGAUGUGAUUAUUAGAUGUCACAAUAUCUUUCAUAAGAGAUAAUUAUCAUUUUCUAUAUAUAAUAUAUAUAUAUAUAAAGUGCAUCAUUCCGAAAGCUUCUUUUUUUUUUUUUUACAUGAGAGAAUACGUGCUUAUAGUGUGCUCUUUCUUUAUAAAGAUUAUCAAGGACAAAAAAAAAUAAUUCAUUGAGCUAAUUUUUUUCUUAAAAAUCCCAAGAAUCGAUAUAAAUUUUUUGUCGGUCACCCAUGAAUUUGUCAGUGUGGAAAUUAGUGAUAUAUAUUGUCGGAGAUCAUUCAGUCAGUAAUCCCUGACAAAGACUCCGAAACAUUUUAGAACCGCAAAACGAAGAAACGAAAAAAUUGAGAGUAAAUGUAGGAUAUGAUCAUGGGACGUCUAGUCAUGGCAUCGCGACAGCAACCCCUCGAAAUUGACUCCUUAUCCGUUUUACUAGUGGUUGCUACUUGCUAGGGAGCCAAGGAUAAAAACUCUGCAACUUCAAAAGCUUAUUAGCUCAGUUUUUAAAUUUAUCUUUUAAUAUUUAUAUUUGUAAGAUUAGUUGAAUGGUAUAUAAACUAGAUAUUCAUAUUAAUUUUUUUAUAAAAAAAAAACUCUGCCAAAGCUUAUUGUAUAUGACUACUUAUUUUAAAACAAUAAUUUUCAACUUCUACAAUAACAUAUCCACUAAAAAAAAAAAAUGUGAUUUCUUAGUAUGAUUAAACUUUUCUAAUUUUUUUAAAAAACAAAACAAAUACCUCGAUUUUGCAUGGGAAACUAAGUUUUGUACUAAAAAAAUCAUCCCCAAUCAGUUUAAAAUAUCAAAUAAAAAAACCUGAAUUAUAGUUUAAAAUCAUUUCCAAAUCAUUUGGCUGAACACUUAUAUUAAUUAAAAAUAAAAUAUUAAAUAAUAAAACCUCAUGUUUUCAGCUUAUAUAAACUGAAAAGAACUAAGAUAUCUUUUUUUAUUAUUAUUAUUAUUGUAUGAAUAAAGCCUCAGAUAUCAUCGACGACGAGUUUUCUCUCUUCAUCCGACGUGGGAUCCCAUGAAAAUAAUAUCUUCAACCAUAUUCACUCUGAGCAAGUAAAUAUAUAAACUUAAGAUUAUCCAUCCAGCUCUCUCCUCACCAUUCAUAGGCCGCUCACGAGAUUCCAUUUCUAUCCAUUACAGUAAUCGAAACGUGAAAACCACCUCGUUAUGCUCCACGUGGUUUGGAAUGUCAUAAAUAGUUGUACUUUGAAGCGGAUAGAAAGAGACAUUACAAUCGAAACAAGCUGCCAAAAACCCAGAGGCCCCUCAGCAUCUGUUCCCAUAGCCUUUUCUCCACGUAUUUUUUGACCCUUUGAUUCCGACAACAUGAAAAUACAGCCCUCUAAAGAUUGUUAGAGAUUUCCAGAUGAGCAUGAACUAUUUCAGACAACGAAAUGGAUGCCUGCUUCACAUAUGUAGCAUUGCCCGUCCAUAAAAAAAUGAAAACGAAUUAAAUGGUCUUUCUAAAUCAUAUUUUUCAGUGUUGUUUCAUGUUCUAAACUAAAACUAUUCUUUUAUGUUAUUGUUUCGUCGACAGAUUUUAAUGAUAACAAAAUAUAUAUAUAUAUAUAUAUGAUUUUACAAGGACCAAAAAUCCAAAUUUAAUUAUUUGAGAUACGAGCCUUGCACUGAGAAUGUGCUUAUAUCGUAAACUCAAUAUGGACUUUAAUGCUUAUAUCGUAAACAACUUGCUAUUAAUAUGUCUUAUCAUUUUUAUCUUAUUAAUUCUUAAUACAUUGCUUGUUAAAUGGUUAAUCUAGAUUUGUGUUGUAUAACACUUGGUACAACAAAUGCUUUGUACUUUCAUAGCCCAACCGUAUGGUAUAACCUACACUUGUGCUAUGUAAGGAACUUGAUUUGUUGUUAACAUAAGUUAGCAUCAUGAAUUCCUAACAAUAUUUAAAAGUUUGAUGUUACUUAAAUAAGAUAAUUAAUAUGAUCAUGUUAACAAUUUGUAAUGUACUAUUAGUGACAAAUCAUCCGACUGGAACCUUCUUUGUGUGUAGUUUUUAGUUGAGUAAUAAAAAGAGUUUAUAUUAUACUUGUUUGAAAUACCAUUAGUGGAUCCUCUAACCUUGACAUUUGUUUUUAUCAUUGUUUAAUCCUCACAUUAACCAAACAUCUCAAAGUCCUUUUUAACUUAUUAUUAAUAUUAUUAUUAUUAUAGUUAACCUCACUGUGGUUCGACCCCGGUCUUGCCAGAUUAUUUAUUACUUCGACACUCCUAUACUUGGGAGAAGACAUCAAUCUUUUGGUCGUGUCACACAUUUCUUUCUUUUCAUACAUGUAUAUAUAAAGGUAGGAAAAUGUGUUUUUACAUGGGUGAAAGUAAGGGGUGAGAUGUUUUAAGCAAUUGUUUUUAUUUUAGUCUAUUUGGGACAUGGCCCAAAUGGAUUUUUUUUUAUGUCAGCUUGUUUAGGUCAUAGCCCAAACAUAUAUAUUUUUUAAUGUGCACCAUCAUAUACACCACUAAGUCUUUCAGAUGGACAUGUUUAAAAGACUUAACUAGUAGAAGUGGAGGAAGAAAAUACUUAAGAUAUAAAUUUUACCUGAUGUGGACAAGAGAAUGUUACCAUGCUAGAUAUUAUAGAAUGUAUAUCAUGUAUAUCUAUACAUAGGAUAUUAAUGUAGGAUUAAUUCAAUGUUGUAAUCCCUACAGUUACUACCGUAUUCUGCCCUACAUAUAUAAAUAGGAAAGGUUGGCUAAGGCCAAACCUAAGACAUUCAGUUAUUCUCAACUUGGUAUCAGAGCCCUAAAUAAACUAAAACACUUCUUCUCCUCUCUGCAAUGGAUCCUUCUCAGCCGGUAGCCAUCUCCUCCUCUGCAGCAGCACUGGUUGUCCCAUCCUGCACUCUUGCCGCAGGACAAUUUUCUUCUUCAGCCGCAGGACAGCUUUCUUCUUCAACCUCAGUUCUGCAGUGGCCACAACAUACUAAUAUUGGCCAUGCUCUUCUCAAUCCGGACAAUGCUCCUCUGCUGCCAUCUUCGUCUGCUGAAGCCACAGCAACCUCUGUCGUGGCAAUUGUGUCCCUCUCCCACACUCAUCAGGUCAUCUCUCUGAAAUUAACAAACACCAAUUAUUUAUAUUGGUGAAUGCAGAUGAAACCAUAUCUCUUAGGCCAAGGAGUUUUCAGCUUUGUUGAUGGUUCAAACUCCUGCCCCUCUCCACAUAUUCUUGCUGCCGAUGGUGCUACUCUUCAGGUAUCUCAAUCCUUUCUUCGUUGGAAACAACAUGAUCAACUAAUUCUAAGUGCCUUGCUCUCUUCGCUAUCCAUGAAAGUUCUUCAUCUUGUUGUUGAUUGUCUAACCUCAUGUUCUGCCUGGCUCACACUUGAGCAAGCUCUAGCGUCUACAUCCAAUUCCCGUAUUAUGCAACUACAUGGCUCUCUUCAAGACCUUCGACAAGGUGAUGAUUCGGUAACUCAAUUUUUUCAAAAAGCUAAGACUUUAUUUGAUGAGCUAGCAGCUGCUGCCCGGCCUAUCUCGCUAACCGAUUUUAAUCUCUAUGUGUUUCGUGGCCUUCGCGGAGAAUUUAAGGACUUAGUAACAAGUCUUAUUACAAGGGCAGAUCCUCUACCAUAUGCAGAUUUGCUUAGUCAUCUGCUAACUCAUGAAUUUAUUCAUAAAUCCUCUCAUUUGUCUAUGGGAUCUGCUGCCAUUCACGCACCAUUGCUGCCCACGCCAAACAUCCCACCUUCAGCACUACUUUCUCAACGUCAGCCUUCUGCUCAGUUUGGACGAAAUAGGGGGCGUUCUUAUGGCAGCUGGCGUCCUCCACAAACCUCUCACAGAGGGUUUCGAAAUACUGGCUCCAGGUCUGAUUUUCAUAACUUCCAAAACACUUACAAUUCUGCAGCUGGCAACGAAAAUAGACACAGCAGCUGGCAAGGAAAUUGGCAGCGCCGAGGAUCCAAUUCCCGCUGCCAGUUAUGUCAGGCCUUCGGACACACUGCUCCUCAGUGUUCCCAACUUCAGCAACGUAGCUAUGGACAGCAACAUAGUGCCAAUUUGGCAUUCCAUAAUUCUGCAGGUACUGCUGAAUGGUUUCCGGACACCGGUGCAAACCAACACGUCACACCCGACCUUGCAACCUUGACUGCUUCAGAACCAUACAAUGGUAAUGAUAAUUUGCAUGUUGGUGAUGGUAAGGGACUUUCCAUAUCUAAUAUUGGCCAUACAAAAAUAUAUAACCCACAUCGUUCGUUCACUUUAUCUAAUGUUCUACAUGUUCCUGCAAUCACGAAACCUCUGCUUUCUGUUCAGAAAUUUUGUCUCGAUAAUAAUGUUUAUUUUGAAUUUCACCCUUUUCUAUUUUAUGUCAAGGAUCGCAACACCAAUGAAGUACUUCUCUCAGGUCAGAGUAAAGAUGGUCUCUAUACUUUGUCCAAGUUCAGGUCUUCCGUCCUGUCAAUUCCUCAAGCCUAUUGGUCUCCCUGCACCUCUGCCUCUGCUGAUUUGUGGCAUCGUCACCUAGGUCAUCCUACCUCCCGCAUUUUUAAACUUUUAGUCUCGAAAAAUAAGAUCAUUUAUAACAACAAAAGUCUUAAUUUUCAAUGUCAAAGUUGUCCCUUAGGAAAAUCGUCGCGUUUGUCUUUACGACCUACUGGUCACAAAACUUCUGCUCCGCUUGAAUUAAUUUUUAGUGAUGUGUGGGGUCCUGCUCCCCUUUUUUCUUCGGAUGGUUAUCGUUAUUUUGUUAUAUUUGUUGAUGCGCACACAAAAUAUAUAUGGUAUUAUCCACUUGUUGCAAAAUCUGAUGUUUAUUCUGUCUUUCAUCAAUUUCAAACUCUUGUCGAACAUCAGUUUUCUUUAAAAAUAAAAUCUGUUCAAACUGAUUGGGGCGGUGAGUAUCGCAAACUCUCCACUUUCUUCCAGACAAUUGGUAUUCAUCACCGUCUGAUAUGUCCACAUACUCACGAAGAAAAUGGGAUGGUAGAAAGACGUCAUAGGCAUAUUGUGGAAACCGGUCUUACUCUUCUAGGUCAAUGUAAAGCUCCUUUUCGUUUUUGGAAUUAUGCAUUUGAUACUUUGGUUUAUCUCAUUAAUCGUAUGCCUACUCUUGUUCUUGAUAAUCGAUCUCCUUUUGAUUGUUUGUUUCAACGGUCUCCUGAUUAUCAAUUUUUACGUACUUUUGGAUGUCUAUGUUUUCCUUUCUUGCGUCCCUAUAAUAAUCACAAAUUGGAUUUUCGGUCUUCUCCUUGUGUAUUUUUUGGCUACAGUCCCUCUCACCUUGGUUAUAGAUAUUUUGAUAUUGAAUCUCAUCGCAUGUAUAUCUCCCGUCAUGAAAAUGUUUUUUCGUUUGAUAAAUCUGAACAGAUUGCACAGGUUUCCACUCAAACCCAUACACCAUCUCCUAUUACCAUCCUCCCAAAUCUAACCCACUCACCACUGUUUACAGCUCAAAACCCAUCCCAACCCGCCUCUGCCUCUGCCCUGCCCUCACUGCCGACUCAAACACCACAGCCUCCAUAUUUCCCUUGCCGCUCACCCCAUGCAUCUUUAUCUAACCAUAUUGUUGCAGAUACAGGUUGCAGCUCAGUGUUUCCUGCUCUCCAGCACGAAGUCCUUGCGAAUAGUGGGAGAUCCUCUGGUUCGUCUUCAGCUUCUCUUUAUUCUGCCACUAACCCGGUUUCUGCAGACUCUGCCUCUACUGCCAGCUCUCCACUUGCGGCAGCCUCUUCCCCGGAUUCGUCUCCUGGACUGAAUCUGGUGGUGGAUCUCUCAGCCUAUCCACUGCAUCAUGACACCUCUGUCAUGCCUCCUUCACCUGCGUCACAGCCAGUGCUCAGCCGACACCCUAUGAUCCUUCGAUCACGACAGCCUAAAAAUGCCAAUAUGGUGUCCUCUGCUGCCGCUAAUGCAGCUGCCACUCGGGUAUUGCUCUCUCCUUCCUCUGAACCUGUUGCCUUUUCUGAUGCAGAUAAAUAUGUGGCUUGGCAUGAUGCCAUGUGUGAUGAGAUCAAGGCUUUACGAUCCAAUCAUACUUGGUCUCUAGUGCCCUUUCAUCCAUCGAUGAAUGUUGUGGGCAGCCGAUGGGUAUAUCGCAUCAAACGUCGUGUUGAUGGCAGCAUCGAACGUUAUAAAGCCCGUCUAGUUGCUAGAGGCUUUACUCAACAGGAAGGCAUUGAUUAUUCUGAAACUUUCAGCCCAGUUAUUAAGCAGGCCACCGUCAGAUUAGUCUUUUCCAUUGCAGUUUCCCGCAAUUGGAAGAUUCAUCAGCUUGAUAUUCAUAAUGCCUUUCUCAAUGGUGUUCUUACUGAAGAGGUCUACAUGAAACAACCUCCAGGUUUUGUUGAUCCUACUCUUCCAUCUCAUGUGUGCAGGUUGCACAAGUCACUAUAUGGUUUAAAACAGGCACCAAGGGCAUGGUACACUCGUCUGAGUGAUUUUUUACUCUCUAUUGGUUUCCUUGCCUCCAAGGUUGACACUUCCCUGUUUAUCUUAUCUGAUGGCACUAAUAUCUUCUAUCUUCUCGUCUAUGUUGAUGAUAUUCUGCUUACAGGCAGCAACUCUGCCAUGCUCCAUCAUCUAGUCCAGUUACUAAGCUCUGAAUUCAAGCUUCGUGACUUAGGUGAUGUUCACUACUUUCUAGGUAUUGAAGUUCAGUCUACAGGUAUGGGUCUGAUGUUGCGCCAACAAAAAUAUAUUCUUGACAUCCUCACUCGGGCUGGUAUGACUUCCUGCAAACCAGUUGACACUCCAGUUUCUCCCUCUAAACUUGCUCUACAGCCGAAUCAUCCAUUUUCUGAUCCCACACGGUUUCGUCAAAUUGUGGGUGCUCUUCAGUAUCUUACAUUCACUCGCCCAGAUAUCUGCUUUGCUGUUAACAGAGUCUGUCAGUACAUGCAUGCUCCUACAGAUUCCCAUUGGGCUGCUGUUAAAUGCAUACUCCGCUAUCUCAAAGGAACGGCAUCUUAUGGUUUUCAUAUCACUCGAGGUACCUCUUUUGCUCUUCAUGGUUUUACAGAUGCCGAUUGGGCUGGGAGUAUUGAUGAUCGCAAGUCUACGGGUGGUUAUCUUGUUUUCUUUGGUCAAACACCGAUUUCAUUGAAAUCCGGCAAGCAACGUACAGUUGCUAGCUCUUCCACUGAGGCUGAGUAUAAAGCCUUAGCAGAUGGUACUGUUGAGGUCAUCUGGCUUCAAUAUUUGUUAACAGAUCUUCAGGUUCCCUCCAUCUCGGCUCCUACUAUUUGGUGUGAUAAUCUUGGUGUUACUUAUCUCUCGGCAAAUCCUAUCUUUCAUGCUCGUACUAAGCAUGUUGAGGUAGACUAUCAUUUUGUCCGUGACCGGGUAGCAAAGAAGGAAAUUCAGAUUCGGUUUAUCCCCUCUCAGGAUCAACUUGCUGAUGUCUUCACCAAACCACUUUCCGCUGCGUCCUUUAUUGCUUUCAGGUUCAAGCUUCGGGUCGAUCCUCCACCCUCAGCUUGAGGGGGCAUAUUAUAGAAUGUAUAUCAUGUAUAUCUAUACAUAGGAUAUUAAUGUAGGAUUAAUCCAAUGUUGUAAUCCCUAAUUCUGCCCUACAUAUAUAAAUAGGAAAGGUUGGCUAAGGCCAAACCUAAGACAUUCAGUUAUUCUCAACUCUAGACAUUUGAAUGUUUACCUAUUUGUGUCUUAUGAAGUGUCUGCAUGAAAGCUUUCUUCAUGUAAAUUUCUGAUAAUAUUAUUUUGAAAAGAAUCUUUAAUCCUUUUAAAGAUUAGUAAUCGUGGAGACCUGAAUAAGGAUCCUUAAUCAUUUUGGAGACAUUCGAGACAUAUAAAGAGAUUUAAUUAAGAUAUAUUUAAAGAUAUAAAGAUUUAGCAUAUAGAUUUUUCAUAGAGACAUUUAUAUAUGGGGAUAAAAGAUCUCGCUGUAAAGAUUUUCAUAGAGAUAUAUUUAGAGAUUUUAAUGUAGAUUUUUUUUAAAGACAUUGGAGAUACGAAGAAAAAUCAUUGUUUUUAUUAAAGAUUUGAAAAGAUGGAGAUAUAAUUCCUAGGGCUAAUUCGAGGAUUAUUUAACAUAAGGUAAAUCAGUGUGCAAACUUUCGUCCUUUUAUUCUGAGGUUUUGUUUCCUUUUUCAUGAACUGGUGAAAAUAACUUUUGAUGAUCAAUUUUUCUAUCUUUGUUUUCAAGGCAUGACAUUCUUUAGUAUCAUGCCCUUGAUCAUGAUAUAAAAAAAAAGGGUUAAAUUUAUUAGUGUUCCUUGUGUUUGCAUAAUUUUUAAUGGGAUAAGGAUAUUGUAUAAAUUAUUUCCCUCCAUUAACAGCUGACAUUUCAGUCUGUGUGCUGGUUAGAGAGGUAGUCAAGAGCUUAGAGAAUAUCAAACGAUAAUAAAUGUGUCAUUUGGUGCUCAUUUUAGAUAAUCUAGUUAGAAACUAAUGAUGUUGAGUAUACUAUUUACAUUGACUUCUUCCAUCCUAAUAGAAUUUUUCAUUCACUAUUUAAUCAAAGUUAUAAAGCAUAUUAAUCAAAGAUUCUCUGAAAAAUAGAUUUAACGAGUCUUUCCACGUUGAAUAUUUCCUCUUUUGACAUUUGGAGAUAGGUCAUAGUGCUCACAUCUUCUCUAUAUAUGAUAGAGAAGAUUUCAAUGGUGUUAUUUUUAGUAUUUAUAUGAUACCAUACACAAGCAUAUCCAUGUUGCGUUGUUUGAAAAACUUUACACGAUGCAUCAUUAUUUUAUAUGACAAGCUCUAUGAUACUUCUCAUAUAUGUAUUCUUAAUAUCCUGAGCUUGUUGAGAUUUUCCCAUACAACUGAUUGAGUCAUUUUUCUUUGUAUUAUGCUUAACUUUCAUUCUUAUACGUGUCAUGGAAAUUAUGGUGCAGUUGCACUUUCAUUUUGUAACAUAUAAUAAGAUCUAGCAUGACAAAAACUGCAAGCAUAAGUACGCCCAUAUAUUUCAUCAAAAAAGGAACGUACAUGUGGAUGAUAUACACCCAAGUUUAUUUAAAUUAGGAGGCCAUAUAAUUUAUUCUAGUACAGUAGGGCAUCCUUUUUUAUCAUACAACUCAAAAGACUCACGAGGACAUUCAUCAUCUCAUCACUCACAAGCAAGUCGUGGCGUAGGAAUUGAAUUAAUGAACUUGGUGGCAGCAAGCAUGGCGUUGUAGGAGGCUAAAUAGCUAAUUCCUGAGUUUGAACUUGUUUCACCAGCUAUAUUUGAAACACCUUGGAACACCACGAAGAGCUUUUCAUUUGACAUAGAUGUCUGCAAAUUGGGACACAAACAAAUUCGUUAACCAAAUUAAUCAUGCGUAGCUUCCUAGCUAAAAGGCAUCUCUAGAAGAAGAAGAAGAAACACAAACUUUUGAGCUCGUAGAAGGUUUUUUUACUAACCAAAGCUACAGAAGCACUUGCUGUAUCGGCAGUUUUUGCAUCAAAAUUUUUGUUAAGGAAGUCUCCGUAUGCUUUGUUUCGAACGUAAAAAUCAGAAGUAGAACCCUUGGAUCCGAAGACAACUUUGGGUUUUCCGGGCAGGCAUUUAUCAGAAUAACAUUCUCUUAACUUCAUAUCCUGCAAUGAAUAAUCAAUUAAUUAUUGUAGUUAAUCCACUUGAAAAUUCAAAGAUAUAUAUAUUCAUGGUCUCAAUAAUAUCAUUAUAGGCUUAGCGAUAGUUUUAAUGGCAAUGAAGAAGAAACAUGCAGCUAAUUCAGCUGAAUAUUCUGAGAUUGACAAACCUUGAGCUUAUUAGUGGCAGCUUCAUACCAGGAUGCGGUGAUGGGAAGCCAGAAAACUUCCUUGGGUGCUUCACUUGGAGUGAACAUGUUAAUUUUCUCAUACUCUACAGUCCCCAACAAGUUCUCUCCAUUCUCUGGAUAAUUGAAGUCUCCAAAUACCAGAUGACCUUUCUCCUCCGCUCCGAAUUUCUGCAUGAUAUAGAAUUGAUUACGUAGUAUUAAUUAGUCCCAACACCACUGCUGAUAUACAAUGUAAGAACUUUUUGAUUUUUAUGGAUUAUUCUUGUUAUUUGUCAAGAUUAUAAUAUAUCAUUGUUUUCUUAUUAGCUAUAUAUUAUACUAUAUCACUGUCACUAUGUCAGAUAUGAUGUACGUCUUUAAAAUAAAAUUUAAAAAAUCAACUUUUAAAACAAAAAUAGAAAAUGAAAACCAUAAAUAAUAGCAAAGGCCCUACGCACCUUCCAGUUCCAAACUCCGGUGAAGGCAACAGCCUGCGGCACAGAAACAUCACCUGGAACCAUUGUUUUCUUAUCCAAGCUUCCAGCGUUCCCAAAAUAGAUGACUCCGUGAAUUUGGAAUCUAGCUAAAAGGAUUUGCAAAGCUGUUGCCAUAUUUACCUGUCAUAAAACAAUUAUUUAAGACACGAAAGAUGCAAGUUUCUUUCGUUAAAAAUAAACAAAUUAAGGUAGAGUUAGUCUUACUGAAGCCCUCCCUGUCUUGACAUAUACAAUAGAAGAACCGUUGAGUGUCCCGCUAUGGAACCUUCUGCCCGCAAUGUCAACAGAGGAGUCUUCACUGUCAGGGCUAUAGAGUCCGGAGUCUUUCAGAGCCCUUUCGUUGACAUCAGAGGUAAAAACUAGCCCUAAGCGGAGGUGUGCGACUUUGCAAUUGCUUUUCUCGAUCUCAGCAAUGGAGUCUAUCAAACUCGCUUGCAUGGACUGCUGUGGCAUAACCAGCAGCAGCCCAAGCAACAGCAGUGCUGCCAAAUUGACUCUAGACAUUCUAUGGAGCUCAAGUGUUA